rnacentral:lncRNA from 1 species
GGGCACUGAAAUUUGGGUUGGUGCACUCUGAUCCAUUAUAUCUGUUUGUUCUUCUGCUUCAGUUUUCACUCCCACCUGCGAUGAACAUAGGUACGCUUGCUUUUCUGUUGUUUAGCAACAAAAAGUGCAACCAGCAGUUGCUCGCUUGGCCGCUUACUCACUCUUUUUCGUAACAAAUGUAAGUUUAUUCUCAAGUAUUGUUUAUUCAUCCUUUAAAAUAUGGCAGGAAUAAUGACGCAGUUAUUUGGAGCAGGAGAGAAUGAAUGUUCCGUUAUCAUGCUGUGGACUUAUGCUUUCGCUUCACUGUCACUUACAUUCUGGUCCGCCGCCUUCAUGUGGCUUGUGGCGCGACUGUGAAUCAAAAUUUACAUGAAUUCUGUCUAAUACAAGUGUAGGUAGUUUGUCAGAAGAAAUAUUACGAAGCUCCAACCCGAGUCCGCCGGGAAUUAGGAAGCUCUCAGUUCAGUUCCUUCCCGUCAUCGGAUUGAACAUGCAGAGCCAGCGUUCGACUCCACAGGCUACCCAGAUGACGCAUCUAGUGGUUUGUGGCUACGAUUUGGUCAGAGAAGUAAAAAUGGUGGUGACUGGUUCUCGGUGGUUUAGAGAGAAGGGCAGAGGAGUGUAAACGUAAGUAAAUCUAUGAAAUUGUAUACAGAAGGUUUAGAGAGAGAAUAGCUCAGAGAAGAGAGAGAGAGAGAGAGAGAGAGAGAGAAUGAAAGUUCUUGAUAUAUUUCUUGAUCACUAAGUAAUACAGAUGUUGAGAUAUUUAGACACUUUCAAUACCAAAGCUAACUGCCUUAACAGAACUUUUAAUCUAAUUACAAUUGUCAACAUCCUAUACAUUAACUUCUAUACUCUAUCAUCCCUCCGCAAACUCAUGCUUUGAUGAACGAAGCAUGAGAUUGUUACAGUGAGUAUGAAACAAAGGAGAACUCAAGCCUUUAGUCAGAAUGUCAGCAAACUGCUCUUUGGAGGAGACAAACUGAACAAGGAGCUAUUUCUUUGCAACCCUUUCCCUCACAAAAAUGAACAUCAAUCUCAAUGUGCUUAGUGCGUUGAUGUUGAACUGGAUUAAAAGACAAAGCAAUCGCGGACAAAUUAUCACAGAAUAAAACAGGUGGAGAAGGUGAAGGAACCUUCAAAAAUGCUAAUAGUUGUUGGAUCCAUUCCAAUUCAGCAGAGGUGGAUGACAAAGCUCGGUAUUCAACCUCUGUGGAGGAUCGUGAUACUAUCAAUUGCUUCUUAGAAGACCAAAAAAUAGGAUUAUGCCCUAAAAACACAACCAAAGCAGUAGUAGACCGUCGGUCAUUAGGGUCUCUUGCCCAGUCAGCAUCACUAAAAGCCUUUAAUUGAAGGGAUCCUCUGGAAUAACAGAUGCCUUGAUGUAGGGUGCCCUUUAAGUACCGCAAAAUUCGUUUGACUGCUGUAAAGUGAGCAACCAUAGGUGUUUGCAUAAACUGACACACUUGGUGGACUGAGAAGGCUAUAUCAGGACGUGUAAAUGUGAGGUACUGCAAAGCACCUACGACACUUCUGUACAAAGUCGGGUUGGGAUAAGGAUCACCAUCAUCCUUGAGAAGACGGUUGUAGGGCAAGCAAGGAGUGUCACAGGGUUUUGAAUCAACCAUUUCUGUUUUGGUGAGAAGAUCCAACAUAUAUUUUGACUGAGACAAGAAUAAACCAGUUGUAGUUCUUGAAAUCUAAAUACCCAGAAAGAAAUGCAAAUCCCAUAAAUCCUUGAUGUCAAACUCAGUUGUUAAUGCAGUAAUAACAUGUUGUAUAUUUGCAGAUGCACUCCCUAUGAUGAUAAUAUCAUCCACAUAGAGUAAGAGAAUGACAAUACCAGAAUCAACCUUUUUAACAAAGAGAUGAAUCAAUAUAGGUGUUUUGAAGGCCCAAUUGAGGCAAAAACUUUGUGAAUCGAUCAUUCCAAGCUCUGGGAGCUUGCUUGAGCCCAUAUAGAGAUUUAUGUAGCUUGCAAACUAGAGUAGGAUGAUUAACAUCUGCAAAACCGGGAGGCUGAGCCAUGUACACUUCUUCUUCUAUAAUGCCUUGUAAAAAGAUAUUUUUGACAUCUAAUUGCCUGAGAGACCAACAAAACUGAGCUGCAAGAGCCAAUACUAACCGAACAGUUGUAGGUUUAACUACAAGGCUAAAUGUUUCCCCAUAGUCAAUUCCAGGUUUUUGACUGAACCCUUUAGCUACUAAUCUAGCUUUAUGUCUUGCAAUAGUACCAUCAGAAUGUCUCUUGAUCUUGAAUACCCACUUACACCCCACCAAGUUCUUUGUAGCAGGUAAUACCACUAGACUCCAGGUACCUUGUUUAUGCAAAGCACUAACUUCCUCUUGCAUAGCUUUAAAACAAAUUGGAUCCUUAAGUGCAGAUUUGUAGGAAGUUGGUUCAAUGAGAGAUAAAUCAGUACCCUCAUACUCCUGAACUGUAGCUAACAAAGCUCGUUUCUUAAUAAUACCACUCUUGCUUCGAGUUUACAUAGGAUGCAAAUUAAAUGGGGGAACCUCCAACACCACUUGCAAAGUAUCAAGACCAAAUGGUUCUUCUGGUGAAGCAUCAGAACGAUUGACAAUUGCCACAGGGACUUGAGGACUAGAAGGGGAAGAGCCAGUAAUGGACUAAGAGGACAGUGGUGAUGAAGGAAUAGGAAAUAGUGGUAUGGGAGGAUUAUCAGGUAAAAAUGAAGAUUCAUAGAAGGAAUGAGAUGAUAGGGAUAUGGAAGAGGAAUGAGAAGUAGGUACAGGCACCACAACAUUAUCAUUGGAAAUUACAGGUGCAGGAUGAUAUGAACUGUGAUUAACAGGAGGUAGAGAUGAUGUUUUAUUGUGGACCAACAAGUCUUUGUAAGGAAAUUAAGACUCAUCAAAUACCACAUGCCUAGAGAUAUAAAUUCUCUGUGUAGAAACCUCAUAACAUAUAUAACCUUUAUAACCUUUAUAUUUGGUAGCAUACCCCAGAAAAAUACAUUUGGUGGUUUUGGCUUGUAAUUUAGUGUCAUUAUAAAGCUUUAACAAUGGAUAACAAGCACAUCCAAAUAUUCGAAGAUGGGAAAGAACAGGAAUAUGGCCAAACAAGAGUUCAAAAGGAGAUUUAUAUCGAAGCACAUAAGUAGGCAUUCUAUUAAUGAGGUAUAUAGCUGUUUGACAUGCAUAAGACCAAAAACUUGCAAGUAACUGAGCUGCUUGUAACAGGGUCACAGUAGUUUCAAUAAUAUGCAUAUGCUUGCGCUCAGCUAAAUCAUUUUGCUCGAGUGUGUAUGGGCAAGAAAUCUAAUGGGUAAUGCCUUUGUCUAGAAGGAAUGACUGAAAUGCCUUACUCAUAUACUCUCCCCCCCAUCACUUUGUAGGAUUUGUAUAGUGGUUGUAAACUGAGUAAGAACAAAAGAAUAGAAGGAAACAAAGGUAGCAAAGACAUCAAAUUUAUUUAUCAAUGGAAAUAGCCAAUAGUGUCUUGUACAUUCGUCAAUAAAGGUCACAUAAUAUCGAUAACCAUCAAUGGAAACAGAAGGAGCUGGACCCCAAAGAUCAAUGUGAACAACAACAAAGGGUUUUACAGCCUUAUUGGUACUUAGGGAAAAUGGAAGUUUACAAAACUUGCCCUCCAAACAACUAGAGCACAUUACAGGUAAAGAAGGUUUUGAACAAGGGAUAUUAGCUUGUUUUAACAUCACAACAACAAUGUUAUUAGAUGGAUGACCUAGUUUAUUGUGCCAAGUAGAAGAAUGAAUAUGCUGACCAAGGAAUGCUUUAGCUUGAAUUGAACCAGAAUGUGUGGCAUGAGAGGGUGCAAAAAGGCAAGAGAUGGGAUAAAGUCCAUUAUUGCACAUUCCUUUGUAAAUGAUCUUCCAUGUGGCCUUGUCCUGAAUCCAGAAACAAAAGGCAUAAAAAAUGAGUCAGCAAUUAUUAUCUAAACAAAUUCGAUGCACAGAGAGCAAGUUGUGUGUCAACUUAGGAACAAGAAGUACAUAGUUGAGCUUAAUCGGAUGCACAUAAUUCAGUUUAGAAACAUUCAGAACUGUACUACCAAUAUGAGACACAGGAAAACCUUCACUAUUGGCAAUUUGAAUGGUCUCAGAGGUAGGAUAUGGAGAUGCCAGAGAUAGAUUACUGAGAUCUGCAGUCAUGUGAUUAGUAGCUCCAGAGUCCGUGAGCCACACUUGAGGACUAGAAUAAGAAGUUGAAGGUAUAAAAGAUGGCUGAGUCAUCGUAGUAUGUAAAGCUUGUGGAGAUUGUUGCUGAGAAGAAAAAAUGUUAAGACUGCAUUGAUGAAUGUUGAAAUGAAGCAUUAUAAUGUAGAGCACCAUAUGUGGAGGAUUGCCCUGGAGAAGGAUAGAACUGUCAAAUAGAACCUCCAAAAUUAGGACCCUUGUCAUUGUAAAAACAGUACCAUGUGCUAUGAUUGUGCUUGCCACAAAUUUGACAUUUGUCUCUAUCCGGAGGUUUAGACUGAUAGAAAUGAGUUGUGUGUCCUUCAGCAUUACAGAUUUGACAAGUAGGCAUCAAUGAGGCACUUAGAUUACCAAAAUAUUGGACUGGAGGUUGACCAAGUAUGCCUGGAUAUGGUUUAGGGAGCACAUGGGUUUAAGUAGACUGUUUGGGGGAAUAAAACCGAGCCCCUUGAUUAAAUCGACAUUUGCCUUUGUUUUUAUUCCCAUUGAACUGUUUAUAGCCCCCAGGAAAAAAUUGAGAUUGUCCAUAUGCAUUAGAAGAUUGACCCCUUGCAGAAGGAGAUACAUUAUUGGCAACCAUUGCAGUAAUAAAAGGGUGUAGUUGUAGAAUGGUCAACAGUUAUCUCUUCAGCAAGCAACUGAGAUUGAAACUCUUUAAGUGAGAUCACAUUCUCAUGACCUCGAAUAACACACCGAAAUGUGUUGUAUUCAGAAGGGAACCCAUUGAGAGCAAGGAUAACUAUGUCCUCAUUAGCAAAAUAAACCCCUGCAGUAGCUAAGUAAUCUCUAGCUUCUUUAAUGCGAUGAAGAUACUGAGACACAGAACCAGAACCUUUCUUAAUUGUCUGAAGAUUGGACUUCAUUUGAAAAGUACUAGUCUUAGACACGGUGGAGAUGUGAAAUCUCGUUCUUGGAUUUCACUGUUAUAAUAUACAUAAUUGUAUUAUUGAGAUAUUAUGUUAUUUUUGAGAAAUUAUAUUAAUUUAUUUGGAUUUAGAUUUUAAUUAAAUUAGUUACGAAGUUUGAAUCAAGGUCAUAAUUUAUAUUGUUGAAUAGAUAUCGAGAUCACGAACGCAUAGGUGAAAGCUGUUUGUGAGUCCGGAUUAUAACGGUAUAGUUACGGACGUUUGAAAUUCUUGCUCCAAAAAAAAAUAUGAAAAGAGAAGAAAAAGCCACGGGAGUGGCUGAAAGAAAAUAAUAAAGGAGAAAAGAAAGCCACGGGAGUGGUGAGAGAAAAAGGGAAGCCCAGCCUUCCUUUGCACCCGUGCACCUGUGCACCAACCCAACUCCAUUUCCGGCGGUCUCCGCCAUUCUUUCCGUCGAUUCUGAUAAGAUUAAAAGCACACCACAAAGUAGCACACAAAUGUCCUAUUGAUUUUCCUUAUUAACAAUAAUAUUUGUCAAUUGUAGCAUAUGAAAAUAAGGGUCUUUCCCGCAGAAGAUUGUUUUAUCUAACUAUUUAAAAUGUCACAAAAACUGGUUGCUGUCCUUACUGACCAGCCAUCGAAAACUAAUUAUUAGACCAACUUACACUUAUCUCAAGUCUACGAAAUUUUAUAUGAAGAUACUAGACACAUAAAACUACACUUACACCAAUGUUUGGGAUUUUUGGAGUUGAUUUGCUAUUUAAAUUAAAUCGAACAAAAACAGGACAGAAAUAGAUUUUAGGUAGUUCACAAAUUAAGAAAAACGAGUUAGGGGUAUUGCUAUCCACCACCAAAUAAUCAUGCAAACAUGUUAUAUUUCAUUCAGAUUUCUUUUAUUUCCGAAUGAAGAUGCUCAAGUUUGCUCAAUGUUAGAACUCAACCUAUUACUCUUUCUUACGUAGUAUGUUAAGAGAAUGGCGUUUUCAAGUUAACUUAGUUCCUAGCAUACAAUUUAGAAUGUCAUGUUCAUAGCAUUAGAAUCCUAGAUAUUCAUAGCAUUAGAAUCCUAGAUAUGCUUACUAAGUAUGCAUCCAUAGAAAACAAAUAAAGAAUUCAUCAAUGAGACAAGUAGUGAACCAAUUUUCAUCCAUUCAUAAAAGUAAUUCAAACGAAAUGUCAUAACAAACUUGCAAUCAUAUUCGGAGCUUCAAAAAAGCCCCUAACUUCUAAAAAUUUAGUUACAUAGUUCUCAAAGUAAACCAAAAGAAAGACAUGAGUUUGAGAAGAUAAAACCGAAAGAAGAGAAUGCCAAGAUUUCCUCCUUCAUUUCCUUCCUUCCCCAACGCAGCUGCCUUGUCCUCUUUCUCCUUCCUUUCCUUCUUCUUUUUUUCUAUCUUUUUUUCCUCUAAAAGAACACACUUUUUCCGCUGCAACCUGCAGCCUUUAUGCCCAUGCUUGCUGCCCCAUUUCUGCUCCAUAACUCACCCCACUAACAGCCAUUUAGUGAUGACAAUAAGUGAGAGGAAAUGGUAAAACAAUUGUAACUCUUUGGGCAACCUUUAUGCCAAUUACUCCCACUUAAUCCUCAUCUUUAAUUCCAUUUCAUCUGAUAUUUGAAUAGGUGUCAGCUGGCUUGUUCUUGGCUGCAUCAGUUUUGGCUGCUAGUUUUAUUGGAUUUAUUGCCUUCAAUGCAGUUACAAACUGCUCAGCGUCUUGGAAACCUUUCAGUGUUAAAACGGCCAUAACUUCUUCUAGAAAAAUGAUAUUAACAAUCCGCGAAAUGCUCCAGAAAAUAGAUAUCCGUAGCUUUCCAAGAAUAUAAGGCUCAUUCUCUAAUUCAUUCUGAGAUAUUCGCAACUUGCUUCCAAAGUCAGCUGAUCUGCACAGGCAGUUUUGACGAAUUUGUUACUUAAAAUUCCACUUGUGCUAUUUUUCUUUUAUUUGCUUGACAAAUCCCACAAAACACAAAAACAAUGUAAAUAGCUCAAAAAUAUAAGGAACUAACUAAAAAAAGACAAGUGUAUUUGAUGUAAAAUAUAUAUAAAUAUGAGCUUAUCAGAUUCAUCACCAUCCAUCGCCUACAACCUCUUCCUCAACCUUCCCUCUACCAUCUCCACCCAUAUUUGAGAAUAUUUACACUACUACAAUAUUAGCUUUAGGUGGCGGAUGAUGGUGGUGGAUAUUAGAAAAUAUUGUCAGAUAAAUUAUAUCCGACAUAUCAUUUAAUUACUGGCGGAUAUUAGAAAAAUACUGUCGGAAAUAUCCGCCAUAAAUUCCUGGCGGAUAUUUACUGGCGGAUGUCAAGAAAAUACUAGCGGAUAUUUACUGUCGGUCUUUUUGAAUUUUUUUAAAAAUAUUUUUUUUACAUAUUCUGGCGGUUUUUAUUUUAGUAUUCUGGCGGUUAUUAUUUUAGUAUUCUGGCGGUUAUAACCGACAUAAAUGAAAAUGUUAUUAUUUUAAAAUGUUAUAUUGAUUAAAAAUAAAUAAAUAAACACAUAUUUUAAUUUUUUUUUUCACUCAUGAUCCUAAAGUCUAAUGAACCCAAUUCCCACAAGCCAUAAAUUUUCCGAGAGAAUAAUAACAACAAACUACAAUCUAAGGCUCUAUCAUUUUUGUAAAAAGGAUUAUGCUCCCUCACAGGCAAGCAACAAGAUACAAAGAAAUUUAAACAAUUUUUUCCAAUGCGUCACAAUGCACAUUGUCUGGCACAUAAACACACAUGAACAUCUGAUGUACUUUAUCAUGUCAGAUUUUACUAUUUUAAAAUGUUAUAUUGAUAAAAAAUAAAUAAACAUAUGUUUUAAAUAUUAUAUUGUUUGCAAUUUUUUACACAUGCUAUCUCAUAGUAUAUAUGAACAUAUUUGACGGUUGGAUUGUUGAAACUAGUUUUGUUGAAUGCAUAUCCUAUCAAAUUGAUAGAUUUAACAAACACUUAAGAGUUAAUGUUAUACUUCCAUUAAGUAUAAAAUAAGAUUUAUCCACUAGUGUAAAUAUUUUAAAUUGAAGAUCGAAUUCAUUCAUUGCAUUCUUAUAGGGUCGAGGAGUGUAGCUGUAAAAAAAUCAUUAAAAUCGAAGCUAAAAUAACCGUUAAAUUGUGAUUUUUCGUUUACAACCGUCGAAAACUUUUGUUUCAUUAUGUAAUCUGUGAAUGUUUGUUUUUUAUGAUUUUUUACGUAUGCAAUCUUGGAGUGUGUAAAAAUAAGUCUUAUAAUUAAUGUUAUACUUCCAUUAAGUAUAAAAUAAGAUUUAUCCACUAGUGUAAAUAUUUUAAAUUGAAGAUCGAAUUCAUUCAAUGCAUUCUUAUAGGGUCGAGGAGUGUAGCUGUAAAAAAUCAUCAAAAUCGGAGCUAAAAUAACCGUUAAAUUGUGAUUUUUCGUUUAUAACCGUCGAAAACUUUUGUUUUGUUACCUAAUCUCUGAACGUUCGUUUUUUGUGAUUUUUUACAUAUGUGAUCUCGGAGUAUGUACAAACAAGUUUGACGGUUAGAUCAUUGAAAAACGUUCCGUAGAAUGUGUAUCGCGUCAAAAUGGUAGAUUAAAUAAACACUUAAAAGUUAAUGUUAUACUUCCAUUAGUGUAAAUAUUUUAAAUUGAAGAUCAAAUUCAUUCAUUACAUUCUUAUAGGGUCGAGGAGUGUAGCUGUAAAAAAUCAUUAAAAUCAGAGCUAAAAUAACCGUUCAAUUGUGAUUUUUCGUUUAUAACCGUCGAAAACGUUUGUUCUGUUACGUAAUCUGUGAAUGUUUGUUUUUUACGAUUUUUUAUGUAUGCAAUCUUGGAGUGUGUACAAAUAAGUUUAACGGUUCGAUCGUUGAAAAACGCUUCGUAGAAUGUGUAUCGUGUCAAAACGGUAAAUUAAAUAAACACUUAAGAGUUAAUGUUGUACUUCUAUCAAGUAUAAAGUAAGACGUGUGGUAUCCACCAGUGUAAAUAUUUUAAAUUGAAGAUCAAAUUUGUUCAAUGCAUUCUUAUAGGGUCGAGGAGUGUAGCUUUAAAAAAUCAUCAAAAUCGGAGCUAAAAUAACCGUUAAAUUGUGAUUUUUCGUUUAUAACCGUCGAAAACUUUUGUUCCGUUACGUAAUCUUUGAAUGUUUGUUUUUUACAAUUUUUUACGUAUGCAAUCUCGGAGUGUACACAAAUAAGUUUGACAGUUGGAUCGUUGAAAAAAGUUUUGUAGAAUUCAUAGCGCGUCAAAACGAUAGAUUAAACAAACACUUAGAGUUAAUAUUAUACUUCCAUCAAGUAUAAAGUAAGACUUGUGGUAUCCACCAGUGUAAAUAUUUUAAAUUAAAGAUCGAAUUCAUUCAAUGCAUUCUUAUAGGGCCGUGGAGUGUAGCUGUAAAAAAUCAUCAAAAUCGGAGCUAAAAUAACUGUUAAAUUGUGAUUUUUCGUUAAUAACCGUCGAAAUUUUUUAUUCUGUUACCUAAUCUCUGAAUGUUUGUUUUUUGUGAUUUUUUAUGUGUGCGAUCUCGAAGUGUGUAUCAACAAGUUUGACGGUUGAUCAUUGAAAAAAGUUUCGUAGAAUGUGUAUCGCGUCAAAAUAGUAGAUUAAAUAAACACUUAAGAAUUAAUGUUAUACUUCUAUUAAGUAUAAAAUAAAAUUUUGUGGUAUCCACUAGUGUAAAUAUUUUAAAUUGAAGAUCAAAUUUAUUAAUUGCAUUCUUAUAGGGUCAAUGUAUGUAGCUGUAAAAAAAUCAUUAAAAUUAGAGCUAAAAUAACCGUUAAAUUGUGAUCUUUCGUUUAUAACCGUCGAAAACUUUUGUUCUGUUACGUAAUAUUUGAAUGUUUGUUUUUUACGAUUUUUUACGUAUGCGAUCUUGUAGUAUCUACAAACAAGUUUGGCGGUUCGAUCAUUGAAAAACGUUUCAUAGAAUGCAUAUCUCUGUUAAAUUUGCCUAAAUUUUUAAGUGAGAAUAGUAAUUUGUGUUAAAUUUUUAUUUAUGUUUUUCAAGUAUUGAUUAGACAAUAUUUAGUUUGUGUGAUGACAUUUUCAUUGUACAAUUAUCUUUUUGUUUCUAUAUUGCAUAUUUUACAAGGGUUAUUAUCUAUUAAACAAAACAAUUAUUUAUUUAAUUUUUAAAAAUGUAUUCUAUUUAAAUACAUAUUAUUUAUUUAUUUAUUAAACUAAACAAUUAUUAUUUUAUUUUUUAAAAUCGUAACAAAAAUUGGGGGGGGGGAUACAAAUUUUGGGAGGGAAUUUAAAAUUUUGGGAGGGGGGAUACAAAUUUUGGGAGGGGCGGAUUUUGCCGCCUUUUUCAUUACUGUCGGUUAUAACCGAUAGUAAUGAAAAAGUUUCUGUCGGUUUUAUAUUUAAAAAAAAUUUCUGUCGGUUUUAACCGACAGUAAUGAAAUUUUCCAGAAUAAAAUCUCUUGCUCCCGUGCCCUUCCCCGUUCCUUCCCUCAUUUCCUUCUCAUACUCUUAUCUUUUCAUUUACUGUCCGCAUCUCCAGUCUCCUUUUUCAUCACAACAGAGUCAAGAAAAUGUUCGGGGUCGUCUUCUCGAAUCGCAGCUUCCCACUGAACAUCUCCUCCUUCUCCCAAAUUGACACCUUCCAUUGGAUUCUCUCUCUCUCUCUCUCUCUCUCUCUCUCUCUCUCUGAGAAUUGAUGACAAUUUUUUGUAACAUUAAAUUCAUUAUAACUGAUAUAUUUCUUACUUUUUUUUGGACCGGAAAACUGUCAUCUUAGGUGCAGUGUUUUCAUCAAGCAUUAGCCUUUCCAGUAUGGUUCCAGCAAAGGAGAAACAUAAUGAAGGUAACAAGGAACCACUUAGAGCUGUGGUACAAAGGCAUUUUAGAGCUCUUGUAUCGCAACUGGUACAAGGUGAAGGUGUCCAAGGCGAAGCCAAUCAGUUCAACAAGAAACCAGUGAAAACCCUGAUGUUUUUCGAAGGGUGUCCAAGGCGUUUUCGCUGCACAGUAAUGUUUUCCAUAUACAGCUUUUUGUUAUUUCUUUUACAAUUCGAGUUUCUGCUGUUUGUUUAAUUGUGCUCACUGCAAAUUAUUCAUAUUCUACAUUCUGAUAAAGCAUACAAGGUUUUUAAAGCUUGGUUGGGUGAUCUCUUAUCUUGUCAGUUUCUGCUGAAAGGUGCUUGUGUUGAAGAACUAAAGAAGAUUAAGCAUGUUGUUCAGUAUUGCAUAUUUGCUAUUAUCUGUUCGGCCGCGUUUAAUGCCAAUUUUGAUGCUCCAACAUAUAAGGUCAAUGCACUUGCCUCAACCGUUCCACAAGCGGACUAUCUGUGGAGGAUUAUUGUGAUGGUAGGAGCAAUCCCAGCUACACUGACUUACUACUGGCGCAUGAAGAUGCCUGAAACUGCCCGUUACACCGCCCUUGUUGCAAAGAAUGCGAAACAGGCUGCAUCCGACAUGUCAAAGGUUCUGCAGGUAGAAAUUGAAGCAGAAUCCCAGAAGGCUGAGCCGACUGCUAAUGCAUUUGCUUUGUUCCCCAAGGAGUUUAUGCACCGUCAUGGCCAAGACGACUUUGAGACACAUCAGUAUAAUUUUUUUUAUUAUUAAUAUAUUUUCUGUCGGUUUUAUCUGACAAGAAUGCUUUAUUUAUUCCUAAUUAAUAUAUUUUCUGUCGGUUUUAACCGACAUAGAAUGCUCUAAUUUAUUCUUUAUUAAUAUAUUCUUUGUCGGUUUUAUCCGACACAAUUUCUGUCGGUUUUAGAGUAUUUUCUGUCGGAAAAUUCAUUUCCUGACGCAAGCAAUUCUGUCGCUUAUUAUAUCCGCCACUGCACCCAUUUUCUGUCGGAUUUUGCUUAAUUUCCGACAAUAUUAUAUGUUUCUUGUCGGUUUUUAAACCGACACUAAUGGGUACUUUUGUAGUACUGUUAGGCCCAAUUUCAUGAAGAACUUCAUCGGGUUCGUGGGUGAGUUCGACGGUGAUUCCAUCGUUUCGGCGACUUGCACCACUUACUACUACCCUUAAUCAACUUCCCUUGGACCCAAGAACAAGACCCAACUGGUGGUUGGAGCGUUGGAACACCAAGGAAGCCAAAUUGAAGAACACCCACCUUAGGGUUUCGAUGGGUGCGAGCCAAUUUGAGGGCCUGCCUGGCCAAAUUGGACUUGGUCACAGGUAUAAGUUUACUCUACUUGUUGAGACCUUCAUUCUUGUAAAAUUUGAGAAUUUUUGAAAAAAGUCAACUUUUCCGAUGUGUGACAUUAGAUUUAUGAAAUACUUCUUUCGUUACCAAGCAUCUAGACCUAGAAGGGAAUUAUAGUUGAAAUGACAUCCUUGUUAAUCUUGUGCUUAUUUGAGUGUGUUUGGUUGGGGUUUAAGAGUUUAAGUAGUUAUAUUCAAGUUAUUAGUAAACGAUCGAGUUUCUCUUAAUAUAUAUAUAUAUAUAUAGCCACAUAUACAUGUCAAAAGGGGUAGUGGCAUGAGUGAAGAGGUGGUGUUUUAAGUUGAAAAGCCAUUAACUUUGGGUUGGUUUAUUAAAAGAUGGAGAAUGAAGGCUACAAGCAUAGGAAUAGAACGUUAAAAUGUUGAUUUCAUGGAUGAGAAAUAAUAUGUAUGGUUACUAGUAUAAAAAGGGUGAGUGACUUUAAUAUAUGUGUUAUAGGUGAUUACUCUAUUUUCAUAAUUAUUAUCCUGAGAGGGUAUGAAACGGUUUUAUGAUUAUGUUUCCUAUAAAGUGCCAUCGUUAUAGUUUAUGAUGUGGGAUUUGACGUGCAUAUUAGAAACAUGGUUUUCUUUGUAUGGCUGGCUUGAUGUGAUGAAAUGUGAGGACUAGUGGUGGACUGUGAACCCAUUGUGAUUGGGGAUUUGUUGCUUCGAUAUUGUUUCUUUUCCCUCUUCGUUGAUUCGUUUUAAAUUUAGCAUAUGUGCCUUAUUUCCCUUGGUUAUGCUUUUGUAAAUUUAGUAGCUUGUGCUUGUCUCAUUUCUUUGAGCCGUUGUACAUUAUAGUUGUUGGUCUUCCGCGAUUCCGUUGAGUGAUGUUCCAAAAUCGUAUCCACUUGGAUUCCGUGAGAGAUGGUCCAGAAUCCCUUCUACUCCGCAAUUUCGUUGAGUGAAGUUCUGGAAUCGUAUUCACCUUGGGUUUCAUUGAGUUUGGAUUGAGAUAGCUUCAAAGGUAUAGGCUUCGACCGAACUAUGUCGCUCUAACCCUACUUUUCAUGGUGUUGUAUGAGAAUAUGGUUGUGAGAUGUUGUGAUUGUUUCAGACGAAACGUUGGAUGUCUGGGUGACUCCUUCGGAGUUUGCGAAGGUUUGGUAUUAAUUUCUUAUGAAUGAUUCAUAUUCAAAGUUUAUAAAUUGUGAUUGAUGGUUGGUUUUAUCACUAUUAUCACACUUUGUAUUAUUGUCGCUCACCUGAGCUUCACAACUUAUCCAAGUUUUGAAUUGCCCAGUGCACCAUUUCCAUGAUGUAGGCACUGAUUUUAUAUGCAACAGGUCUGGAUAGAUUACAAGAAACCAAUUGAUAUUUUGGUUCGUUGAGUGGUUCGGAAUCCUUACUCUUGCACAUUCCAAAAGGUUAGUCUAGAACCCUAGAUUCGAGCGAAUGAGAAUUAUCCAUAGACCUUGUGAAUAUAAAUUAGAAUUACCAUGUUAUUACUCAUAACCCAAGUAGGGAAUUAUAUAGAGUUCUCUAAUUGAAUUGGUGAAAUGGUAUGUUAUCUCAUUGAUUGAUUAACGUAGUUAAAUGCUAAGAUCAUGCAUCCUUGAUUCAUGAAGGGAUUAAUUGACGGGAAUUGUGGAAUGACGUUGGAUAUGAUUGUUAUUAUUAUGAUUAUUUAGUGAUCAAUGUGGCUUAAGAAUAAUACUGUGCUUCGUUGGUUAUUGAAUAAGUUGCUUGCUGUUGAUGGAGAUAUCACGUUGAGAACAUAGUGAUUUAUAUGAUGGAUGGAAUGGAAACCUUGAAUGUCAUGUGGAUUUGUUAUGUAACCAUGAAUCUAGUAAUUCAUGCUUGUUAAGUUCUAAUAAUUGAUUGAGGAAUGCUAUGCUUUUUGAUUUGAACGUAUUGUGAUAAACAUCGAGGUGUAAUGAAUGGUGAACUAUGAAUGGCUUGAUCCCCAAAUGAGGGUACGUAGGCAGUCUAACAAGGAGGUUAGAUGCAACCAUAAAGUAUACGAAAAAUUCUAUGCAAUUCGAGGCAUGGCAUGUGCUUGAUACAAAUCCCGGGGGACGGGUAUGUUAUAUAUGUGGUUAUUUGAUGACGUCACGUGUCGAUCCCGGACGUAUGUCGGGAUCGGGACGUGACAGGAGAACUGCUCUUUCAAACGAGUCCAAAGAUCUCGAGAGCUCGUACUACCAAUUGCACAGGACAAAGCAACAGGUGACAAAGUAGCAGUGAUUAAUUGCAUUAUAGCCCUAUCAUGCAUUUUCCAAACGACAAAUUCAUCAAUUUCAACAGAAGUAGUAGAGCCAGAGUGUAUACCAGAUUCACUAGAAGGAACGUGAUGUUAAGCAGGACAAGGGUGCGAGCCAUCAACAAACCUCAUAAUACCAUUGCUCUCCAACAAAAGUUGUAUCUGAAAGUGCCAAUUGAGGUAAUUGGAGUCAUCCAAUUUGACAUUCAAUGAAGUCGAGAUGGUGGAGAUUAAAGCCGUGAUCGGAGAUUGCACAAGUUGAAGUUGAGUUGCAGUCACCAUUGAAAUUUCAGCUGAAAAACUCAGUGAGGAAUUAUAACAAACAGUUGAUAUGCAAGAUUGAAGGAAACGGAGAAGAUGAUCGAAGAAGAUCACGAUCAACCAAGAAACCCUAGAAGAUCAAUUUUCAAGAAGACGAAGAGAAUUAGGGAUACCGAAGACAAAUUGAUAAGUGCGAAGACAUAUUCGAACCGAGCGGAAGCAGAUGAGAAGGAUCGAAGAUUAUGCGCAGGCAACAAUGGUGAUUGAUACCAUGUAAACGUGUAAGUAAAUCUAUGAAAUUAUAUACAGAAGGUUUAGAGAGAGAAUAGCUCAGAGAAGAGAGAGAGAGAGAGAGAGAGAGAUAGAGAAUGAAAGUUCUUGAUAUAUUUCUUGAUCACUAAGUAAUACAGAUGUUGAGAUAUUUAUACAUUUUCAAUACCAAAGCUAACUGCCUUAACAGAACUUUUAAUCUAAUUACAAGUGUCAACAUCCUAUUCAUCAACUUCUAUACUCUAUCAAGGAGUUCGAGUGUUAGAGAGAGAGUGUCUCAGUGUAUAAUGAGGGAAGGAUAUGAGAGUGACCGCAAGUUGGGAUUACUAAAUUACCCUCCACAUUACAAAAAUCAUAACUCAAUCUCCCCGACUCCGAAUUCAAUUAUGGUUUCAUCUAUACGCACUCGAAGAAAACUAAUUUAAUAAAAUAGAAAAAAUAUGACAAAUUGGAAUUUAACUCAGAGGUCCAUAAUUACUCAAGGCAUCCAAUCAGGGGUAUUUUGGUUAUUUCAUAUUUCUAAAAAAUAAAAUACAUUAUUUUAAGAUACUGACAUCAGCCUUGUCAUUUCAAUUUGCGCUCUUUGGCACUUCCAAAAUAAGUCAGGAAUCAGGUUUUGAAAGCUGGACACCUUUCAAGAAACUCAGUCUCCCUUUUCACAUGCUAGGAGGUGUGCAAGCAGAGCAAUUGUCAUGAUUGUCUUCCUCCCAAGCCCCAUCUCGUCGGCUAGAAUCCCGUUCAGUCAUUUCUCAGUAUUUAUUGGCUAUAAUCCCAUCUCUUGCUUCUUGCUUAUCAUGUUCAGAUUCUUCAUUUAUAGUCUACCGAAUUGCAGAACACCCAUUGAAACAAAACCUACCCAAAUCAAUGUCCUGAUCGAACCCAUGUAAGAGAAUUCGAACCAUGGCAAAUUUUCAAAUUCGUCCUGAAAGAAAUCUUGACCAAUUGCCGUGAGGUCGUCACCUCAAUAGAGAAAAUAGGAAUUGGGUUUUCUGGGGAGAGCUUGUACUCAACCAAAGCACAAGAACGAUCACAUUGAUGUUAGUUUUGAUCAUUGAGUGGUCAGAUGUCCAUAAUGUAAAAAAUAUUUGACGACUUCAUAUGAGCAGCAAGCAAUCUUCGGUUGCUGCUUGCUGGGCACAGAGGAAUUUAAGAGACGAUUGAGCAAGAGUAGAAGUGGCGCAUGAUUAUAUUAUUUUUUAUUUGUACAUGUCUAGGGGUAUAUGUGGAAAAAUGAAAUCCGUCUUUGCAUAGCAUUUGAGUUUUUUGCUCUAUGUGUAUGUCCACGUGUAAACAGGUGAGUGAGAAAGGUAAAAAGGGAAAAGUUGCUAGUAUUCCUCUAAUUUGAAUGCUUGCUAUUGCACAUUUUUAAGCAGGAAUAAUGUAGGAGUUUUAACAAAAAUAAAGGAUGGACAAUUACUUUAUAAUAAAUUACAUAGUAACCCUUUAAGUUUAAGGUCUAUUACAAUCUCAUACACAUCUUUAAAACAUUUCACUUUCAUACCUCAUCUACUAUUUUAUUUCAAAAUAAUACAUGUGUUAGAUUUUCCAUCCAUUGAUCCGUUAAAUGCUGACGUGGCUGCCACCUGUGUGCCACGUGGCAAAAAAAUAAUUUUUUAAUUUUUUUUUUUAAAAACCUGAAUCUUCUCGUAAAAAAGAAGAUAUAUUAUAUCUAAUCUCAGCGGAGGACAAAGACAUCGGGAGGAGGAAGGGAUCGAAUCUGGGCGGGAGGCACCAAAGCCAUGACUAUUGUGGAGCCAAAAAUAAUCAUAAGGUGACAUGUGGAUUUUUGGGUAAAAUGACAAAAAUACCCUUGAGGUGUACCAAGUUUCUACGCGCGAGCAGUAGACAAUCAUCCUCAACCAAGUCAAAAAUGCUCCAAAAAAGGUAACCAAUUCCAAAUUAUCUCAUCCAUCCUCAUUUUAGGUAAUUACUUCAUAACCUAUAAAUUGUUCCAUAUAAAUAGAGAUUAAUUGGCUAAUUAAUGAAUUAAUUCCUAAAUUCAUUAAUCAACCAAUUAAAUCACCAAUCAUACCCAAAAAAUACCUCUUUUGGCUGGUUACCCACUCCCCCAAAGGAACCGACCAUCUCCUUUUAUUUCCUACCUUUUCUACCAUAUCUUUCCUUUUUAUGAUAAUAAUUAGCUAAGAUAAAUAGGGAAUUAUUAGCUAAUUAUUUCAUAAAAUCCCAAUUACCACAAAAUAUCCCCAAAUAUGCACUAAAUGGCCAGCCAUCUAUUGCUAGAAAACGAAUUGGCCAUACUUUGCUUAUUCAUCCCAUUAAUUAGCUAAUUCAUUUGGUAAUAAUCCUUUUGCCUAUUUAAUUAGUCAAUUAAUCACAUAACUCCCAAAAUCAUAUUAAAUCAAGAACCCUAUCCCUAUAAAUAGACUCCUAUUUUCACCAAAAACGAAGGCCAACACUUUGGCAAUAAUCCCAAAAUUCUCUAAACACUCUUUCUCUCUAAAUUCUAACUUUGGCAUCGGAGGGUCUUCGGCCAAAGCCCCCCCAUUGAUCGUGGGCGCGUGAGGCUCUUGGCCUUAACCUAAGGUGUUAAUUGUUUUGUAGGUGAAAAAUUGUCUAAGAUCAAGGAGGAAGAAAUUUGCAUCCACAAAUUGGUGCUUUCAUUGAGAGUUGAAAUCCAUACUCGUAGAAGACUCUCGCACAAAAAGGUUUUUUCUUUAUUUUUUAGUCCAUUUGAAUAUUUUUUUAUACGUUCUUAUUAUUAGAAUUUUUUUACUUGCAAAGGUUCUUUGAUAAAACGUAUAAGCAAAAUAUAAUGGCUAGAAAUAUAGAAAAUUCCACAAGUGAAAAUUCUAAUAAUCAAGAAAUGGGAUUUCGGAGAUCCGUAAGGCUAAAUGCGACAAUAAAUGGAGUGGCACCACCACCACGAGUUUCCACCAUGGGAACCACCACGGUGGCGAGGUCCAUGGUGCCUUCACCACGGCCCGAGUCGUGCCAUCUAAGGCUCACGGCACCAAGGCCACGACCCAAGCCAUGUCACUCCAAGCCCAACGCGUUGCCAAGCCAAGCCCAAGUCUCGCACCUAUGUGUAUCACACUCCGAGCAGCUUGCUCCCACCGAGCAGCCCACUCUCGCGGCCCAACCUGCUCUUGUGGCCCAGCCUGCUCCCGACGAGUAGCCCACUCCCGUGGUCCAGCAUGCUCAUGCCGAGCAGCCCACUCUCAUAGCCCAGCCUGCUCUCAUGGCCCAACCUGCUCUCGUGGCCCAGCCUGCUCUCGUGGUCCAGCCUACUCCCGUCGAGCAGCCCACUCUCGCAGCCUAGCCUGCUAUCAUGGCCCAGCCUGCUCCCACGGCCCAGUCUGCUCCCGUGGAUUUCCAAGCAGCCCAAGUUGGCCCAAGACUAUCUCAACUAUCCGGACCUACCAUCGAGCCGGGGGCAUUCUCACCACAUUUUUUUGCGGAUUUGACAUUUCCCAACUCAAAUCUCUCGCCCGGAGUCUACCACCCUUCCACUGCCCAAGGAGGCGCAUUCCUUCAAAGCUCUUCCAAUCCAAAUGGCGAACAACACUUGUCUCGACAAGUCAUAGAGUUGACGAGUGCCCUUGCACAACAGACGACCUUGGUGAAUCAACUUUUGCAACGCAUCGGGAUCCAACGUGCCCCAGACGAGGUAUCCCGAAGUAGGACAAGGGCAGACUAACCUUUCCAGCAGCGUCCUGGCAAGCAGCCACUCGACCAGCCAUGAGCCGAGCGUUCGGGCAGUGUACAUUCCCGAUUGGGCCCCCGAGAUAGUGUAUACUCCCGUCUUAGCGCGUGGAGGAGCGUGCACUCUCGACUAGGCCCACGGAUGAGCAUACAUUCAUGGUUGGGGUCACACUCCGAUAGUCAACAUGAGCAACCUUCCGGGCAAAGUGUUCAUUCACGGCUAAGCCCGCAAGGAGCAUCCUCCACCUCACAUCGGAGUAGGCAGCACGACGGACGAAGAGAAGCAGUCACUCAAUCCAGCUUAAGUUCAACCAGCAGUCUGUGAAGAACUCGCUCGCCUACUAGAAACGCACCACAUGCACUGCAUCCGUGGUAUAGAUGAGCCAAACACAUGGAAGAGUAGCCUAGACCAGCAAGUCAUGGCUGGGGGCAGCCGAGAGCUCCGCUACCUCAACAAAGGCAAAUUCAGGAAGAAGUAGAGAGACUCUUGACCAAACGAUUGCAUGAUUUCCAACGCAACGAGGUCACCGACGAGGCACUACAACGGAACAUGACCAACAUAAGUAGGUUACCCUUCACGGACGAGAUCAAGCAGGCAAAGCCUCCACGCGAGUUUAACAUGUGACAUUUCACAUCUUUCAAAGGGGAUGAAGACCCGGAUAGACACUUAAAGCGCUACUGAAACGCAAUGAUCCUUUAUCGAAACAACAAUGAUCUCAUGUGCAAGAUAUUCGCCACCACUCUACAAAGCGAGGCGCAAGAUUGGUUUUACACCCUGCCACCACAAUCCUUCCGAAAUUUCUACGAACUUUUUUUGUUUUCACCAAAGAAUAUUCAUCUUAUUGCUCGAUAAAAAAGAAGUCUGGCCAUUUGUUCGACGUCAAGAAGAAUCUAAAGGAGUCGCUUCGUAACUAUGUAAGGAGGUUCAAAGUAAAGAAGGCAAAAAUAAUCGGAUGCAACGAUUCAAUAGCUAGAGCAGCCUUCCAAAAAGGACUUCCAGCUGACCACCCACAACAACAACAACAACAACAACAAAGCCUUUUCCCACUAAGUGGGGUCGGCUAUAUGAAUCCUAGAACGCCAUUGCGCUCGGUUUUGUGUCAUGUCCUCCGUUCGAUCCAAGUACUCUAAGUCUUUUCUUAGAGUCUCUUCUAAAGUUUUCCUAGGUCUUCCUCUACCCCUUCGGCCCUGAACCUCUGUCCCGUAGUCACAUCUUCGAACCGGAGCGUCAGUCGGCCUUCUUUGCCCAUGUCCAAAUCACCGGAACCGAUUUUCUCUCAUCUUUCCUUCAAUUUCGGCUACUCCUACUUUACCUCGGAUAUCCUCAUGCCCAAUCUUAUCCUUUCUCUCGUGUGCCCACACAUCCCACGAAGCAUCCUCAUCUCCGCUACACCCAUUUUGUGUACGUGUUGAUGCUUCACCGUCCAACAUUCUGUGCCAUACAACAUCGUUGGCCUUAUUGUCGUCCUAUAAAAUUUUCCCUUGAGCUUCAGUGGCCUACGACGGUCACAUAACACGCCGGAUGCACUCUUACACUUCAUCCGUCCAGGUCGUAUUCUAUGGUUGAAAUCUCCAUCUAAUUCUCCGUUCUCUUGCAAGAUAGAUCCUAGGCAGCAAAAAACGGUCGCUUUUUGUGAUCUUCGCUAGAUUUGCUCCGGUCAUUAGUGUGGAUAAGUAUAUAAAUGAAUAGAGAUAGGAAAGCAAACACAAGAUGUACGUGGUUCACCCAGAUUGGCUACGUCCACGGAAUAGAAAGAGUUCUCAUUAAUUGUGAAGGGUUUACACAAGUACAUAGGUUCAAGCUCUCCUUUAGUGAGUACAAGUGAAUGAUUUAGUACAAAUGACAUUAGGAAAUAUUGUGGGAGAAUGAUCUCGUAACCACGAAACUUCUAAGUACCGGAGUGUGGUAUCGUCUUGACUUGCCUUAUCUGUCUCAUAGGUAGAUGUGGCAUCUUCUCUCUCUGGAAGUACUCUUCCUCCAUCCAGGGGUGGUAUCUGUAACUGGUGGAGAUGCACAAGGUAAUGUAUCAAUUUCACUUGAAGCUUACUUGUAGUUUCAGGCUUGGUCAAGCGCGAUACAAACCAUGUAGUAGGAGUCCCCCAAGUCGCCGGGCUAGGGGAUCUGCUGAAAGAGGUGACAGACAAGGUAAGCAAUCAGAGCUCCGGCUGAUUGUUCACCUUCUCCCCAUCUUGCAGCAGCAUGAAGGAUAAAGAGAAGAAAGAUGAGAAGAGAUGAUAUGGGAUACUUUUGCUUUUGAAGAAGUAACUUUCCACAGGCUUAUUCUUGAACUGAGCUGGAGGGUUUUCUGGUUUUCCUCCAGAGCCGACUGAAGAAUUUGAGGGUCAAAACAAGUCCAUCAAAUCUAGAGUACGUUCGACCCUGCUGAUAUGGGAUACUUUUGCUUUUGACAGAGUAAUGGAUGUAUCGGCACGUGUGCUGUUACGCUUGUCUCCACAUGCUUCCUUGUAUCCUUCGCACUUGCCCUAUCUGUUCCUCAAGCAGAUGCGGUAUCUUCCCUGGAAACAUAAGAUGUUGAAGAUGAGUACUCGAGAGCAAUGCCAGGUAAGUAAUCAGGUAAGGGGUUCCAGGCAGUCAGUUCCUGGCUGGAAGCUUGAUUCCAAGUGCUGACUGAUUGCUCUCUUUCUCCUUGUCUUGCAGGUAACAAACAAGGCCAAAGGAAAAGACAGGGAAAAAGCAUGAUAUGGGAUACUCUUGCUUUUAACCCUGAUGAUAUGAGAUAUUCUUGCUCUAGUAUAGCUUGUUUGCAAAGGUAUUAUCGGGGGGAAAGAAAGCUGAAUAUUUCGAAAGGCUUCGUUGGGAGUGCCCUCUCAAAUAUGAGGAAGGGUUGAACAUUUUUGCAGGUCUGCCUGUCCGUUGGGGAUGGAGGUCGACAUAUAUAGGAGUCUCCCUAACAACAAGUAGUAAUGCUAUUCCUUUACCCUGCUUGGUCAUAGCACGGUAGUGGGAGCUGCCAGCUUCACAUGUUUUAACUCUGUCAGAGCACUUUGAAAAAGUGGUCUGUGCUCUCGAGAAGUCUUCGACAGAAUGCCUAUAAUUUCCGCAAGGUGAUCGGAUGAUAUUUAUAUAUAUUUUUACUUUGAAUUCACUCGUCUUUUCUUAGUUAGUUCCUUAUAUUUUUGAGCUAUUUACGUUAUUUUUGUGUUUAUAGGAUUUGUUAUGCAAAGAAAAUAAAAAUAGAACAAGUGAAAUUUUAUGUAAUAAAUUCGUCAAAACUGUCUGUGUAGAUCAGCUUUUAAAUUAAAUUAAAAAUUAUAUUUAAUAAUGAUAAGUCGUGAUGAUGUUUGAAACAUCAUCAUGAUGGUUUUGUUUUGUAGAAAAAAAAAAAAGAAAGAAAACGGUGGAAAGAAAGAGUUGGACAAAGAAAGGAAAGAAUCCAAGGCAAAAGAGGAGUAGAUGCGGGGAGGACUGGAAAACAGAGAAAGCAAACGGGACAGCCAAGAGAAGUGGGGAUGGCAAAAUAAAAGAAUAAUAAAAUAAAGAAAAAGGACUGUCAGAUGGAAGGAGGGAAGAGGAUUGGGAGCUGCCUUUGACAGCUAAGAGGUCAGCCGCUGGGUCCAGCUCUCGCCACUUGCGACGAGCCCCAUGAUUCUUUUCUUGGAUCCAGAGGAUGUGAAAAGUAAAGCUUGAGGAGAGAGCUGAGCAGGGGGGCAGCGUGAGACAAAGAGGAAAAUAAAAUAAGAGCUGCGGGGAGGAAAAAAGGGGAGAGUCCGGAGGAAAGCUGCCAUUUGGCAGCUUGAGCAGGGGGAGAGCAGAAACCUGCUUUUGGGCUGGCGUGAUUAAGGGGGUCGGGGGAGCGGAAGAAAGGGGCUGCCCUUUGGGCAGCUCGCAGGAACGUGCAGGGCGUGACAGGAAAGGUGAGGCAAGCAAGGGAGAUAGGCAGAGAGAAGGGGAGAGGCGCAGGAAGAGUGGGAAGAGAAGAGACUGGCAGCGUGCAGGGGAAGAGAAGACGGGACAGCAGAAAAAGCACAAAGGCUUGCCAGCGCAGAAACGCAGGGAGAGGGAAGUCAGGGAGUGAAGAAAGCUGCAAGCUGUUCUCUCUCUCGGUUUAAACUUUUCAAACUUCUAUUUUAUUUCUGUUUAAUAAUGUGUAAUUAAUUUUAUUUUGGCUAGAGGUUAAUUCGAAACCAUGAAUAUAUUUGUAAUAUGAAUUGAUUACCUUCGGUUGUGAUUUCAUAAGUUGUGUUUUCAAUUUACUUAUCCGUUCGUAUAAAAACUGAUUUGUGUAUGUUGGUUGAGAGUGCACGCUUAAUUUACAUGCAUGAAUUUGAUGCUAGAAUAUAAGUGAAUUUCACCUAAUCGUUAUGAACUUAUUUUCACAAGUAGUAAAGGUUGCUAGUCACAAUCACGUUAAGUAAAUUCUUGGCAAGAGUAUCAUGCUUUUCAUAGUUACGAAUGUCUCGUCAAUGCUUAUAGUUUUCACAAAGUUUAAUGAUCUUUGAUUGUAUCGCUAUUGUGCUUUUCACGUAGGGGACUUUUGAAGAAUGUUUUGAAUUGUUGUAUGCGUUUUUCCGUCCAAUUCAAUAACUUAAGGAAAACUUGAAGAUUAAAAAAGUGCUGUUCACGGUUAAUCUGGAGUAUUGAGAUUCACAAUUUAUUGAAAGAACAACUGAAAAUCAAUUUAGGUUGCAUAUGUGUCAUGUGUGGAGAAGAACCCUCUAGCUAGUCCGUCAUUUAUCUUUUCAUUUUAAUUUCAUGUUUUUGUAAAUUCUGUAAUUUAUUUAAGUUUAAUUUACUUUUCAUCAAAAUCAAACCCUCCCAUUAUUAAAUUAUUUUAUUUAGUUAGUUUUCAUUGUUUUUAGUCUUUUAAUUCAAUUUCCGUCCAUUUCAGUUCCUAGUGUUUAAUUUAAUUGUUUUCAUUAUUUUGAGUCAUUUUAAGUGUGUUUCGAGUUAUUAGAGUUUUUAGCCUAAUUUUAUGUCCUUGAGUCUUAUUUAAUAUUUUUAAAUUAAUUUAGAAUAGAUUAGCAAUCCCUCCUAAUCCCCGGCCUAGAACGAUACCCUACUUACAUCUAUACUACAAUUGUCAAAAAGAGGGUUUAAUUUGUGUGUCAAGUAAUUCUCGCAUCACAAAGCUGAGUGUGCGUGUGACAGGUGCUGACAAGGCUAGAAAAGUAGGUGCCUCUUCGAUUUCUGAGAUCGGCCCUCGUGGUCUCUGAGCAGCCCAGCUUUUGAGAAAGCGAGCGUCUCUUCGAUUGAUUCGGAGAACGAUGCAUCUUCGAUUUUUAAGAAAGCAAUCAUGAUGGGGGUCUGGCUCUCGAGAUUCGGGGAGCAAUGUCACUUCGAUUUUUGAGAAAGUAAUCAUGUUGGGAGUCUGGCUCUCGAGAUUCGGAGGGCGGUGCCUCUUCGAUUUUGGAGCAAGCAAUCUUGUUGGGAGUGUUUUCUCGAAUGUGAGUAAAGGUUGGGCAUGUUUGCUAGUCUACCUUGCCACGAAGCACAGAGGUUGACACACAGGGAUUUUCCAAUUAUCCAGCAAUGGUACUGUUCCUUUACCCUCUCUUCGAUUUUUGAGAAAGUAGUCAUGUUGGGAGUCUGGCUCUCGAGAUUCGGAGGACGGUGCCUCUUCGAUUUUGGAGCAAGCAAUCUUAUUGGUAGUGUUUUCUCGAGUGUGAGUAAAGGUUGGGCAUGUUUACUAGUCUACCUUGCCACGAAGCACAGAGGUUGACACACAGGGACUUUCCAAUUAUCCAGCAGUGGUACUGUUCCUUUACCCUUGUGGGUAAUAAUAUGGUAGCUAGACCUUCAAAAUUUAUGGGUCUAAACUUUGUUAGUGCUGUUUCUUUGCUAUUCUUUUACCUUUCUUGGUCAGAGCGAUGUAGUGGGAGCUGCAAGCUUUACGUGCUCAAUUUUGGAAGAGAACUUUGGCAAAGUUAUCUGUGGUACCCAUGAGCUAGUGUUGCGUGUGGGAAGUGGGUGAUUGAACAGUAAGAUUCAUGUGUUUUCUACUUCCUCAGAAGUCUUCGACAGAAUGGCCAUAAUUUCCGCAAAGCUGAGUGUGCGUGUGACAGGUGCUAACAAGGCUGGAAAAGUAGGUGCCUCUUCGAUUUCUGAGAUCGGCCCUCGUGGUCUCUGAGGAGCCCAGCUUUUGAGAAAGCGAGCGCCUCUUCGAUUUCUGAGAUCGGCCUUCGUGGUCUUUGAGCAGCCUAACUUUUGAGAAAGCAAACGCCUCUUCGAUUUCUGAGAUCAACCCUCGUGGUCUCUAAGCAGCCCAGCUUUUGAGAAAGCAAACGCCUCUUCGAUUUCUGAGCAGGCGCCUCUUCGAUCUCUGAAGAUCCGUCGAGUGCAGAUUUUUAUAAGGGCUGGCAUUAAGUUCCAAAGCACACUUGAAUCUCCACCAGUAGAAGCUCCAUUCUUGCACUUCUAAGAUCUUGAUUUGUCCAACCUCUUCUCUCUUCAACACCUUUGAAAAUGUCUGGCCCCUCCGACCGUCGUUUUGACUUGAACCUUGUUGAAGAGGCAGCCCCGCCUUCUCCAGACAACAUAUGGCGCCCAUCCUUCGUCUCCCCUACUGGUCCUCUUACCGUUGGGGAUUCCGUGAUGAAGAAUGAUAUGACUGCUGCGGUGGUGGCCAGGAACCUUCUCACUCCCAAAGAUAACAGACUACUUUCCAAACGGUCUGAUGAGUUAGCUGUUAAGGAUUCGCUGGCUCUCAGUGUUCAGUGUGCAGGUUCUGUGUCUAAUAUGGCCCAACGCCUAUUUGCUCGAACCCGCCAAGUUGAAUCAUUGGCGGCUGAGGUGAUGAGUCUCAAACAGGAGAUUAGAGGGCUCAAGCAUGAGAAUAAACAGUUGCACCGGCUCGCACAUGACUAUGCUACAAACAUGAAGAGGAAGCUUGACCAGAUGAAGGAAACUGAUGGUCAGGUUUUACUUGAUCAUCAGAGAUUUGUGGGUUUGUUCCAAAGGCAUUUAUUGCCUUCGUCUUCUGGGGCUGUACCGCGUAAUGAAGCUCCAAAUAAUCAACCUCUGAUGCCUCCUCCUUCUAGGGUUCUGUCCAGUACUGAGGUUCCGAAUGAUCCCCUUCCGGUGCCUUCUCUUUCUGGGGCUCUACCGACUGCUGAGACUUCUCCUAAGCAACCCUUGUGAAGGCUCCCUCUUGUUUGUUUAUUUUGACUCAUGUAUAUGUACACAUUUGUAGCUUAUCGGGGAUAUCAAUAAAUAAGUUUUCCUUCAUUUCAACGUAUUGUGUUAAAUACACCAAAACCUUCUUCGCUAAGUUCUUUGAAUUUUCUUUUGUUGAAGCUUGUAUGUUGAAGCUUUCUGAGUGGAGCAUGUAGGUUGGGGUAGUGUUCCUUUAAUUUCCCGAGUGAGGAAAACUUCUCGAUUGGAGACUUGGAAAAUCCAAGUCACUGAGUGGGAUCGGCUAUAUGAAUCUUAGAACGCCAUUGUGCUCGGUCCUGUGUCAUGUCCUUCGUUAGAUCCAAGUACUCUAAGUCUUUUCUUAGAGUCUCUUCCAAAGUUUUCCUAGGUCUUCCUCUACCCCUUCGGCCCUGAACCUCUGUCCCAUAGUCGCAUCUUCUAAUCGGAGCGUCAGUAGGCCUUCGUUGCACAUGUCCAAACCACCGUAACCGAUUUUCUCUCAUCUUGCCUUCAAUUUCGGCUACUCCUACUUUACCCCGGAUAUCCUCAUUCUUAAUCUUAUCCUUUCUCGUGUGCCCACACAUCCAACGAAGCAUCCUCAUCUCCGCUACACCCAUUUUGUGUAUGUGUUGAUGCUUCACCGCCCAACAUUCUAUGCCAUACAGCAUCGCUGGCCUUAUUGCCGUCCUAUAAAAUUUUCCCUUGAGCUUCAGUGGCAUACGGCGGUCACACAACACGCGCCGGAUGCACUCUUCCACUUCAUCCAUCCAGCUUGUAUUCUAUGGUUGAGAUCUCCAUCUAAUUCUCCGUUCUUUUGCAAGAUAGAUCCUAGGUAACGAAAACGGUCGCUCUUUGGUAUUUCUUGAUCUCCGAUCCUCACCCCUAACUCGUUUUGGCCUCCAUUUGCACUGAACUUGCACUCCAUAUAUUCUGUCUUUGAUCGGCUUAGGCGAAGACCUUUAGAUUCCAACACUUCUCUCCAAAGGUUAAGCUUUGCAUUUACCCCUUCCUGAGUUUCAUCUAUCAACACUAUAUCGUCUGCGAAAAGCAUACACCAAGGAAUAUCAUCUUGAAUAUGUCCUGUUAACUCAUCCAUUACCAACGCAAAAAGGUAAUACUCUUUCGCUCUGGCAGAGAAGCAUGCACUUUGGGACGAAGUUCGCCGAUGCCCAUUUAAGGAAAAUCCAAGCAAUCUUGAAUAUGAAGUUCCCCACUACUCUAAAGGAGAUUCAAAGUCUGACUGGAUGAGUAGUCGCAUUUGAAGCAUAAAUAAGCUCUACCAUCAUACAAGAAGAGCUGGGGGCCCGACUACCUAUAUUCCAGUUUAAAAGCUCUCCUCGAUGUUAUCAGUUGUAUUCCACAGUUUAAAAGCUCUCAUUGAUGUUAUCAGAAAUUCAAAAGCUAACUUUAGCGAUAGUUGUUGUAACCUAAAAGCUUAAGUUUUACCCUCAAACGCACGCAGUCAUCAUCAUGAUGCACUAUUCCACCGAAUCCUGACGAACGCAACAACUAGGCCCAAAAGACAUGCCAAGGGUAGACGAACACUGGAAGGAACAUUUAAAAGCAAGUUUUUUCCUCGUCGCCCCAGAAGAUUCUACAUAAAAGCAACAUGUACCGACAGUUGAGCACUACCUCCUGCUACGCGUGACACGGCCCUAGCCAACCUUUGCUCCAUUAUUCAGCUCUAGAGUGGUCCAAUACCGAAAAUUGAGCAUUUCCUGCUACAUGUAACAUGGCCCCAGCCCCACGGCUCCGUACCACGCAUUCACACCUAGCCUUGACAACACAACAGAGUGGCCCAAUUGCUCCCCGAAGGCAGCCGAGCACACUUUAGCAGCACCUGCUCCCUCAAUGGAGAUUUCUGGCAUUUGCAUGUCAAUGACGUAAUACCUAAAGAAAGUACGCAAGCAGCUUGAGGCAUUUCAGACUUAAACUCUCACUCAAGUUCCCCGGGCAGACAAUGCCCAUGCAAACGUACUAGUCGGCCUAGGCUCCGCACUCGAUCACCAACUCAAAACGCUCUAUUCUGGUGGAAUAUCUUGACAAGCCAAGCAUAGAGAUGGAGCCAACAACCCAAGUGUCAUAGCAUUUUCAUCCAAAGAUCCCACACCGGAUCACAUAUCCGCUGCCUAGCGCCUCCCGACAACUUGAAAGUUCUAAGAUCAAAUCCACGAAGGUGUAUAUGGAAACCACUUUGGAGGCCAAUCCUUAGUAUAGAAGGCUCUUAACGCAGGCUACUAUUGGCCUACCAUGCACCAAGAUGCUAAGGAGUUAGUACAAAAGUGCCUUAAGAAUAUGGCAUCUAGUAGCACAUGUCCACACCGAGAUAUCCACAAGGCAAUGGGUAGGCCGGAGUAUCCAACAAGACGAUCCUCGACUGCCUCAAGAAAUCCCUGACCAAUAAGAAAGGAAAAUGGCUAAACGAACUCUUCGGUUGUCUAUGGGCAUAUCGCACCACCAAAAGACGAACAACCGAAUGGUAAGGAGAUGACCACAAGUUUAGAUCUGGCAGAGGAGAAGCGUGAGUAGACCAUCACUUGAAUAGUAACCUACCAGCAGCAACUCCUCCCCAGCUACAACAAAACCCGAAGACUCAAGAAGCUCGACGGGUACCACCUCACAAGCCGAGGAUUAUCCAGUUGUUAUGCAGUUCCUACCUUACAGCUAAGUUCUUGUUCGUUUCACUCAUUUUUUUAAUGAGGAAUUCAUAAGUAAUCACAACUUGGCUCGGCUACAUGCUUACAACAACUGAUCACUCCUGCACUUCAAAAGAAGACUGCGCCCUACUUAGGGACUCAUCGCAGGAAUUGCGCCCCCCGAGGGACCAACCAUGCUCUCCAGUGUGAGAGGGUAAACUAAUUGCUCUCCAGUGCAAAAGGGUAAACCAAUUCCCCGACACCCAUAUAGGUCAGCUCUCCAAGACGGGAGGAUAAACUUUACACUCCGAAUAUCCAGACGUGGAUGAGCCUGGCUGCCCUAGUAUAACUAGAUGCACGAUGGCUUGCGCCGGGAUUCCUAGAAGUAGCUACAAUGGUUUUUUUCAAGGCUUAGCUAACUGAAGGAUUUUGGGUCUCUUGGCCUAAUCCGUAGGGAACCGGACCCCAGAGACGGAGAGGACGCAUUAUGUAGUACGCCUUACAGACGGCUGCCCUGGAACCCUAAAGUUGCUACCGAGUACGCUAAGGUAGCCUACGGAUUCUGGAAGACUGCCUACGGCUUGCCCUUCGAGCAAUAAAACUGCGCUAGACUUAUAUAACCUCACAUUCUUGUGAAAGGUUAAACAAGCUAGCGCACAUAUACGAAAUUUUAUCCACUGCCGACAUGCUAUGUAGUCGAUAAGCUUCACCUCUGCCAAGCGCGGAACAACCUACACCAAGUCCUAAAGUGUUGUGAUACUUGCUACGCAACCUACGGAAUUGGAGAAAGCCAAGGUUAACAGCCUAGUGGUUACGCGGACUUGUCUGCUUCUGUAAGUAAGGUAUCCGGUUGCCAACCCUAUGGCUAAUAACCUUGCAAAGUUCUACACCAACACCUACGGCUGCAUAGACUACGCGGGCUUGUCUGCUUAUAAAAAAAUAGCAUGCCUGCCACUGGUCUAUCAAGUCUAAAGGUUAAGGCAUGAACAAAAGAAGCGAAGAUGAAGAAAAGCGAAGGAAAACAUAUUUAUAAACAACUAGCAAAGGCCGAAGAAGUUCAAGCAAAACAAGAGCUACAAGGAAAACAAAGAAAAUCAUAAAGGCUACCUAGAAUACUAAACUACAGCAACUUGGACAUCCCAUGACUACUCGGUCGCCACACCUUCAGCAGCCGUAACGCUCUUAGCAGCGGCAUCAUCCGGCGCUUCACCCCCGGCUGCCCCAGCCUCGGCACUAACUUCUCCAACUACUUCACCAAUGGAAGCCUCAAAAGUAAAAGCAAGCAAGUCUUCCAGAGAAAUAGAGAAGGUCUUGAAACCUCAAGCCCAUCAUUCUCACCCUUCAGCUGCUCAUUUCUUCUCAAGCAGACUAACACGGACGCGCUGCAGCUCAUCCACUCCCUUCUUAGCAUAAGCAGCAAUCAACUUUUCAUCAUUUGCAUAAGCAGCGAAACGAAGCUUAGAAACUGCAAACUCAAGAUCUUGAAUCUAAGGUAUUGUAACAUUUAAUCUCAUUUUCUAUACUUUCAUGCUUAACUUGGAUCACGUCAAGUUUAGUCUUCAAGUCAACGAUCUCUUGGCAAGCGGUCUCAAGCUACAAAGAAGUGGGGGCAGAAAUAUUAGACCCUUUCAAAGCAACGAGCUCAGAAUCUUCCAUAGUAUUUGCCAUUUCCUUAGCAGCCUUGCUAUAUCUGCAUCAUAGCAAGCAGAGCAGUCCUUCUAUAUUGGGUCGUAUGCUUCGCAAACGAGUUUGGGCAAACAACCUUUCUGACGCCAUCAACAAACUUAGCACAAGCGUUCAUGUUUUCAAGAGAUCUGGUUUCAAAAGCACAUAAAUCUCAGCAGCCUCCCUUGAAGCAGGCUUAGUGGAUUUCUCACAGCUGCCUACGCGAGCAGUCUCCUCAUUCCCAGCAGGCGAAUCAGUCUCAGCAGCAUAAGGAAUUGGCCUUGGUGCCACAUUAGCAGCAGAGUCCUCCUUAUCGCUUUUCAUAAUAGCAAGCCUCUCCGAAGGUGAACUAAACUUAGCUCCCAACAGACGUCUUGGUAUAAAAUUCGGCACUAGGGGCAUGACAGGACCUUUAUGCCGAACAAUCAUAUCAGCAAUCAUACUAGCCAUUCUUGACAUGGCAGGCGCCACAUGCUCAGAUCUAGCAGCCUCAUUUUUCAUCCCCUUGGAAAAAGUCAAGUCAAUCACAAGCCUGGAGGCAGUUGAUGAACCCGCGCGAGCAGCGAAAGAAGUCUUUCAUUUUUUUUUUCUCAACCGGCAUCUCUUGAGCAGGCAAGGAAGAUCCAUUUUCCCACCUUCAUUUAUAGCAGGAUCCACAACAGUGAUUGGACAAGCCAAUGCAUCUGCCUUGAUCUUAUUCACCUCCUCUUUUAGGAGCAGCCCACGUUUCUCCUGACGAAAAAGAGUUAAAGUAGCCAACGCUAUUCGUGGUACCUAGCAGGGGAGUUCAACCCAACAUUCUAGCAGCUCAUGAGGUUCGCAACCUCUUCAUUUCUCUCAAUCACCGGCCUAGCUUGCGUCAUGUUCAAAAACCUAAAAGGACAUGAGCCAUGUGACUCGCCUAGCACUGCGCCCCAUCGCCACAAUCCGCGACCCUAGCCACACAAGCUGCCCUUGGUUCUAGCCAAGUCAAGCAGCUUAAAGCAGUGGUCCCUGCCACAAUACCUCCUCGGCCUAUGUCGAGCCGACUCCUGGCCCAUGCCAGCCGACAUGCUGCACCACCCCGACGGCUGCCCCGUGGUAGCACCAUCCAAGAAGAAGACAUGGAAAAUUAAUUUUUUCUUACCUCAGUGCGGCACGAAAAAGACAAAGAAAUCAACGAAAGAUGGUCUUUUGCACGGGCAAGAUGUAGAAGAUUGCUAGAGGAGGGGGAACAAAUAUCCUCUAAGUUAUCUCUCUCUUGUAGGGUAGAAUAAAUCGCUCUCCAAAGUUGAUUUAAUAACCCACUUAAGGUGGACUUAAAUAGGCUUUGAGAGAAAUUUAUUUCCCUUUCCUAGAAGGAUCUAAUUUCCUAUUAAAGAGAGAAUCUACAUCAAAAUAGGAAGCAGUCUUAAGUUUCCUAAAGCAAGAAGAUCUCUACACCUGCUGCCCUUUUCUACAAGCAGCCCAACAGGUGUGGGGGCAUUUGUGGAGCCAAAAAUAAUCACAAGGUAACACGUGGAUUUUUAGGUAAAAGGACAAAAAUACCCUUAAGGUGUACCAAAUUUCUACGCACGAGCAGUAGACAAUCAUCCUCAACCAAUUCAAAAAUGCUCCAAAAAAGGUAACCAAUUCCAAAUUAUCUCAUCCAUCCUCAUUUUAGGUAAUUACUUCAUAACCUAUAAAUUGUUCCAUAUAAAUAGAGAUUAAUUGGCUAAUUAAUGAAAUUCAUUAAUCAACCAAUUAAAUCACCAAUCACACCCAAAAAAUGCCUCUUUUGGCCAGUUACCCACUCCCCCAAAGGAACCGGCCAUCUCCUUUUAUUUCCUACCUUUUCUACCAUAUCUUUCCUUUUUAUGAUAAUAAUUAACUAAGAUAAAUAGGGAAUUGUUAGCUAAUUAUUUCAUAAAAUCCCAAUUACCACAAAAUAUCCCCAAAUAUGCACUAAAUGGCCAGCCAUCUAUUGCUAGAAAACGAAUUGGCCAUACUUUGCUUAUUCAUCCCAUUAAUUAGCUAAUUCAUUUGGUAAUAAUCCUUUUGCCAAAUUAAUUAGUCAAUUAAUCACAUAACUCCCAAAAUCAUAUUAAAUCAAGAACCCUAUCCCUAUAAAUAGGCUCCUAUUUUCACCAAAAACUAAGGCCAACACUUUGGCAAAAAUCCCAAAAUUAUCUACACACUCUUUCUCUCUAAAUUCUAACUUUGGCAUCGGAGGUUCUUCGGCCAAAGCCCCCCCAUUGAUCGUGAGCACGUGAGGCUCUUGGUCUUAACCUAAGGUGUUAAUUGUUUCGUAGGUGCAAAAUUAUCCAAGAUCAAAGAGGAAGAAAUUUGCAUCCACAACCAUGGCAACCCACAAAAUGGCCGCCGGGGGGGGGGGGGAGGGAGGUGGGGGAAGAGAAUCUGUGAAGGGAAGAGAGAAAAAAAAAGACCUCGGGAAAGCCAAAAUUUGUGAAGAAAAAGAAAAAUAGUUCCAUUUUCCAUUAAGAGCUUUUUGGGUUUUCAUUUUUCUUUUUCUCAUUAACAUUAUCUCUAAAAUCGAAUUGGGAUAUUGGGGGAGGAAGUUGAGAUUUUUGGGUUUUCUUUUUUCUUUUCCUCGUUAGCAUUACUUAAAGUUAGCUGCAUCCUUUGUUUUUCUUGUUUUCAUACGUUUUGCUUCAUGAAUACUGUGAAUGGAAUGAUACAUUUGUAGGAAAAGGAGAGGAGAAAAGAACUCGUGGAGGAGGAGAAAACGGAAUGGCAGGGGUAUGAAGGCUAGGGGAGGAUGGGAAGGAAAGAUGAGCUAGAAGGGAGGAGAGAAGGGCUUCCGCCGGCACCAAGCCGUAGCAAGGGACCGGCGGCUAAGGAGGUUGCAGAUCUAGGGUUUUGGGCAAGAUAGAGGGCAUCGGCUGGAGAGAAAAGGGCUUUUCCCUACGAUCUACAUACGAAAAAGAGCAUAAUGUCAAGGGGAAAGGUUUUGUACCUUAGACUAGUUGUGGGAUGGCCGAAGUCCCCCGGGAUCUGGCUCGAAACUCACAGGGUUCGCCGGAGCUAGUUCUCGAUUUAUGGGCUUCACCUAACUCCACAGAGACGAGGGAGAGUGAGAGAGAGAGAGAGUCCACGGUGGUGGUGUGUAGGUGUGAGGAUGGGUGCGUGCGUGGGUGUACUGUCGGGGAGAGAGUCUGAGAAAGAGAUAGAGAGUGAAAGAGUGAGAGAGAAAAGUGACCUGAGAGAGUGAGAGAUCCGAGAGAGACUCGGGAAAGGAUUUCUGGGUUUGGGUUUUUCGGGGUUUUUUUUUAAUAAGGUUAAUAUUAUAAUAUUUUUAAUGUAUAAAAAAUUAUUUUUUUUAUCACGUGGCAGCCACAUCAGCACAAAUGUGGCAGCCACGUCAGCAUUUAAUAGACCAAUGAAUGGAAAAUGUAACGGAGGUAUUAUUUUGAAAUAAAAUAGUAGGUGAGGUAUGAAAGUGAAAUGUUUUAAGGAUGUUGUAUGAGGUUGUUAUAGACCUCAAACCUGAAGAGUUACUAUGUAAUUUACCCAUUAUUUUAUGUCAUGCUCGCUUUAUAUAAAUAGAUAAAUAGAUCUAAGAAUUGCGUGACAACUUAACUUUUUUUUUCUCUUUUAGUUAAUUUGUACAAAUUUUUCUGACAUUUGGUACUAGUGGAAGUGGAAUGCUGAAAUAAAAAGAAAAAGGCAAAGAAAUGCGAUGCAAGUUCAUUGAAUGCGAUGCACGCGUAAAUACCAACUUGAAAAACGACAUUAUUACUUUGAUUUCCAUACAUAAAAACAAUUUUUUUAUUUUUAUUAUAAAGCUUCUAUUAUGAUUAAGUACUAGUGAUAUGGCAUUUAUCAAGACUUAAUAAGUCCUGAUUAGUGCUGCUGAAACACGUUUAAUAAGCCUUAUUAAGUUCUUUCUCUGUGAGAAACCCACCAACGAUUUUGAUGCCAAAACAUUACAUGGUCUUAUCUAUUUUAAUGCCUAUUCGCUAAUCCAGUCGAAUUAGUGGUCUUGAAACUUGAAAUAGCAACAACAACAACAACAACAACAAAGCCUUUUCCCACUAAUUGGGGUCGGCUAUAUGAAUCCUAGAACGCCAUUGCGCUCGGUUUUGUGUCAUGUCUUCCGUUAGAUCCAAGUACUCAAGUCUUUUCUUAGGGUCUCUUUCAAAGUUUUCCUAGGUCUUCCUCUACCCCUUCGGCCCUAAACCUCUGUCCCGUAGUCACAUUUUCGAACCGGAGCGUCAGUAGGCCUUCUUUGCACAUGUCCAAACCACCGGAACCGAUUUUCUCUCAUAUUUCCUUCAAUUUUGGCUACUCCUACUUUACCUCGGAUAUCCUCAUUCCCAAUCUUAUCCUUUAUCGUGUGCCCAUACAUCCCACGAAGCAUCCUCAUCUCCGCUACACCCAUUUUGUGUACGUGUUAAUGCUUCACUGCCCAACAUUCUGUGCCAUACAACAUCGCUGGCCUUAUUGCCAUCGUAUAAAAUUUUCCCUUGAGCUUCAGUGGCCUACGACGGUCACACAACACGCCGGAUGCACUCUUACACUUCAUCCAUCCAGCUUGUAUUCUAUGGUUGAGAUCUCCAUCUAAUUCUCCGUUCUCUUGCAAGAUAGAUCCUAGGUAGCGAAAACGGUCACUUUUUGUGAUCUUCGCUAGAUUGCUCCGGUCAUUAGUGUGGAUAAGUAUAUAAAUGGAUAGAGAUAGGAAAGCAAACACAAGAUGUACGUGGUUCACCCAGAUUGGCUACGUCCACGGAAUAGAGGAGUUCUCAUUAAUUGUGAAGGGUUUACACAAGUACAUAGGUUCAAGCUCUCCUUUAGUGAGUACAAGUGAAUGAUUUAGUACAAAUGACAUUAGGAAAUAUUGUGGGAGAAUGAUCUCGUAACCACGAAACUUCUAAGUACCGGAGUGUGGUAUCGUCUUGACUUGCCUUAUCUGUCUCAUAGGUAGAUGUGGCAUCUUCUCUGGAAGUACUCUUCCUCCAUCCAGGGGUGGUAUCUGUAACUGGUGGAGAUGCACAAGGUAAUGUAUCAAUUUCACUUGAAGCUUACUUGUAGUUUCAGGCUUGGUCAAGCGCGAUACAAACCAUGUAGUAGGAGUCCCCCAAGUCGCCGGGCUAGGGGAUCUGCUGAAAGAGGGUGACAGACAAGGUAAGCAAUCAGAGCUCCGGCUGAUUGUUCACAUUCUCCCUAUCUUGCAGGCAGCAUGAAGGAUAAAGAGAAGAAAAAUGAGAAGAGAUGAUAUGGGAUACUUUUGCUUUUGAAGAAGUAACUUUCCACAGGCUUAUUCUUGAACCGGGCUGGAGGGUUUUCUGGUUUCCUCCAGAGUAUAAGGCCGACUGAAGAAUUUGAGGGUCAAAACAAGUCCAUCAAAUCUAGAGUACGUUCGACCCUGCUGAUAUGGGAUACUUUUUCUUUUGACAGAGUAGUGGAUGUAUCGGCACGUGUGCUGUUACGCUUGUCUCCACAUGCUUCCUUGUAUCCUUCUCACUUGCCCUAUCUGUUCCUCAGGCAGAUGCGUAUCUUCCCUGGAAGCAUAAGAUGUUGAAGAUGAGUACUCGAGAGCAAUGUCCAGGUAAGUAAUCAGUAAGGGGUUCCAGGCAGUCAGUUCAUGGCUGGAAGCUUGAUUCCAAGUGCUGAUUGAUUGCUCUCUUUCUCCUUGUCUUGCAGGUAAGAACAAGGCCAAAGGAAAAGACAGGGAAAAAGCAUGAUAUGGGAUACUCUUGCUUUUAACCCUGAUGAUAUGAGAUAUUCUUGCUCUAGUAUAGCUUGUUUACAGAGGUAUUAUCGGGGGGAAAGAAAGCUGAAUAUUUUGAAAGGCUUCGUUAGGAGUGCCAUCUCAGAUAAGAGAAAGGGUUGAGCAUUUUUGCAGGUCUGCCUGUCCAUUAGGGAUGGAGGUCGACAUAUAUAGGAGUCCCCCUAACAUCAAGUAAUAAUGCUAUUCCUUUACCCUGCUUGGUCAUAACAUAGUAGUGGGAGCUGCCAGCUUCACAUGUUUUAACUCUGUUAGAGCACUUUGAAAAAGUGGUCUGUGGUAUCUGGAAAGCUGAUGUUGCGUGUGAAGAUUACAGACAAGCUUUAUCCAAGGAGAUCCAGCUCUUGAAGUUGGGAAAGUGGUGCCUCUUCGGUUUUCGAACAAGCAAUCCUGUCGGGGAUCUGGCUCUCGAGAUUCGGAGAACGAUGCCUCUUCGAUUUUUGAGAAAACAAUCCUGCUGGGGGUCUGGCUCUCGAGAUUCGGAGAGCGGUGUCUCUUCGAUUUUUGAGAAAGUAAUCAUGUUGGGAGUCUGGCUCUCGAGAUUCGGAGGGCGGUGCCUCUUCGAUUUUGGAGCAAGCAAUCUUGUUGGGAGUGUUUUCUCGAAUGUGAGUAAAGGUUGGGCAUGUUUGCUAGUCUACCUUGCCACAAAGCACAGAGGUUGACACAGGGACUUUCCAAUUAUCCAGCAGUGGUACUGUUCCUUUACCUUCUCUUCGAUUUUUGAGAAAGUAAUCAUGUUGGGAGUCUGGCUCUCGAGAUUCGGAGGGCGGUGCCUCUUCGAUUUUGGAGCAAGCAAUCUUGUUGGGAGUGUUUUCUCGAAUGUGAGUAAAGGUUGGGCAUGUUUGCUAGUCUACCUUGCCACGAAGCACAGAGGUUGACACAGGGACUUUCCAAUUAUCCAGCAGUGGUACUGUUCCUUUACCUUCUCUUCGAUUUUUGAGAAAGUAAUCAUGUUGGGAGUCUGGCUCUCGAGAUUCGGAGGGCGGUGCCUCUUCGAUUUUGGAGCAAGCAAUCUUGUUGGGAGUGUUUUUCUCGAAUGUGAGUAAAGGUUGGGCAUGUUUGCUAGUCUACCUUGCCACGAAGCACAAAGGUUGACACACAGGGACUUUCCAAUUAUCCAGCAGUGGUACUGUUCCUUUACCCUUUCUUCGAUUUUUGAGAAAGUAAUCAUGUUGGGAGUCUGGCUCUCGAGAUUCGGAGGGCGGUGCCUCUUCGAUUUUGGAGCAAGCAAUCCUGUUGGGAGUGUUUUCUCGAAUGUGAGUAAAGGUUGGCAUGUUUGCUAGUCUACCUUGCCACGAAGCACAGAGGUUGACAUACCGGGACUUUCCAAUUAUCCAGCAGUGGUACUGUUCCUUUACCCUUGUGGGUAAUAAUAUGGUAGCUAGACCUUCAAAAUUUAUGUGUCUAAACUUUGUUAGUGUUGUUUCUUUGCAAUUCUUUUACCCUUCUUGGUCAGAGCGAUGUAGCGGGAGUUGCAAGCUUCACGUGUCUCAACUUUGUCAGAGAACUUUGGCAAAGUUAUCUGUGGUACCCAUGAGUUACUGUUGCGUAUGGGAAGUGGGUGAUUGAACAGUACGAUUCAUGUGCUUUCUACUUCGCCAGAAAUCUUCGACAGAAUGCCCAUAAUUUCCGCAAAGCUGAGUGUGCGUGUGACAGGUGCUGACAAGGCUGGAAAAGUAGGUGCCUCUUCGAUUUCUGAGAUCAGCCUUCGUGGUCUCUUAGCAGCCCAGCUUUUGAGAAAGCAAGCCUCUUCGAUUUCUGAGAUCGGCCUUCGUGGUCUUUGAACAGCCCAACUUUUGAGAAAGCAAACGCCUCUUCGAUUUCUAAGAUCAACCCUCGUGGUCUCUGAGCAGCCCAGCUUUUGAGAAAGCAAACGCCUCUUCGAUUUCUGAGCAGGCGCCUCUUCGAUUUCUGAAGCUUCGUCGAGUGCAGAUUUUUAUAGGGGCUGACAUUAAGUUCCAAAGCACACUUGAAUAUCCACCAGUAGAAGCUCCAUUCUUGCACUUCUAAGAUCUUGAUUUGUCCGACCUCUUCUCUCUUCAACACUUUUGAAAAUGUCUGGCCCCUCUGACCGUCGUUUUGACUUGAACCUUGUUGAAGAGGCAGCCCCGCCUUCUCCAGACAACAUAUGGCGCCCAUCCUUCGUCUCCCCUACUGGUCCUCUUACCGUUGGGGAUUCCGUGAUGAAGAAUGAUAUGACCGCUGCGGUGGUCAGGAACCUUCUCACUCCCAAAGAUAACAGACUACUUUCCAAACGGUCUGAUGAGUUGGCUGUUAAGGAUUCUCUGGCUCUCAGUGUUCAGCGUGCAGGUUCUGUGUCUAACAUGGCCCAACGCCUAUUUGCUCGAACCUGCCAAGUUGAAUCAUUGGCGGGUGAAGUGAUGAGUCUCAAACAGGAGAUUAGAGGGCUCAAGCAUGAGAAUAAAUAGUUGCACCGGCUCGCACAUGACUAUGCUACAAACAUGAAGAGGAAGCUUGACCAGAUGAAGGAAUCUGAUGGUCAGGUUUUACUUGAUCAUCAGAGAUUUGUGGGUUUGUUCCAAAGGCAUUUAUUGCCUUCGUCUUCUGGGGCUGUACCGCGUAAUGAAGCUCCAAAUGAUCAAUCUCUGAUGCCUCCUCCUUCUAGGGUUUUGUCCAGUACUGAGGCUCCGAAUGAUCCCCCUCCGGUGCCUUCUCUUUCUGGGGCUUUACCGACUGCUGAGACUUCUCCUAAGCAACCUUUGUGAAGGCUCCCUCUUGUUUGUUUAUUUUGACUCAAGUAUAUGUACAUAUUUGUAACUUAUCGGGGAUAUCAAUAAAUAAGCUUUCCUUCAUUUCAACGUAUUGUGUUAAAUACACCAAAGCCUUCUUCGCUAAGUUCUUUGAAUUUUCUUUUGUUGAAGCUUGUAUGUUGAAGCUUUGUGAGUGGAGCAUGUAGGUUGAGGUAGUGUUCCCUUAAUUUCCUGAGUGAGGAAAACUUCUCGGUUGGAGACUUGGAAAAUCCAAGUCACUGAGUGGGAUCGGCUAUAUGAAUCUUAGAACGCCAUUGUGUUCUGUCCUGUGUCAUGUCCUCCGUUAGAUCCAAGUACUCUAAGUCUUUUCUUAGGGUCUCUUCCAAAGUUUUCUUAGGUCUUCCUCUACCCCUUCGGCCCUGAACCUCUGUCCUAUUAGGAUUUUUAUUGUAACCUAAGUCCUAUGCAAUAAAUAGGACCUUGGGGUUAGCAUAUUUAGUGUGGCUCAUUCGUGUGGCAAUUUGUGAGUUUGUGAGUUAGAGAGCAAUUUGGGAGAAUCUUCUCCGUUAGUUUUGGUUUAGGGUUUGUAAUUUGUGAGAUUUGGGUUGUGAGAGUUUAAACACUUUUGUAAUCUCCAUUUGUUUAGUGAAAUUUCUCGCCGUGCUUCGCUCGUGGACGUAGGCUUUACGCCGAACCACGUAAAUCUCUUGUGUUAGUUUGAGAUUGUUUGUUUUGACUUUCACCUACAACGUUGAUAUUGAUACUUUGUUAGAACUCGCUUCCGUUUGCGCAUAAAAGUACAACACAUUUAUUAUGCUCAUUGCCUCACCCACUAUUUUUUGCCCAAUGCCCAUCCUAAUUUCUUACUUAUCAAUUACAUAAUACAUAAUAAUGUUGACAUAAAGUUAAAAUUAAAAUAAGAUAAAGAGUAGGAAUGUACGCUAUUCUCGAAAAAAUGCCUCACUUGCAUUUGCAGCAAACGACGGUUCUUUGAGCACCAUUCUGUGCAUUCUCUGUUCCAGGUACAUUCUAAGUUUAAUUUCUAUACCACUACUGCUAUACUAGUGUGGGUUCAAUAUAUUGGUAUUGAACUCAUGAGACUCGUGAGUUCAAGAAAUUGGUAUCACACUCAACUUUUCCAACGCACUGUAAAAAUGUCAUCUUUGUAUAAGUUCAAUAUAUUAGUAUCCUUACUUUUUCCGGCCUACUGUGGGAGGCCUGAGGAUAAGAGAUUUUACACUCAUUAAUGCAACUAGGAAAAAGUAGGCAGUCAUCAUAAUAUUUGUUCCAGAAGAUAGACUUAUCCAUGUCAUGUUCCAUGCAAACUUCUAAAACUAUACGCCUUGUUAAUGUUUGAUUUAGUUUUGAUUGAUGUUGCAAAUACAAAUCAGUGAGAGUGAUUGAUUUGUGAGCUGAAGGAAGAAGAGGAGAGAGCAAAAUUGAAGACGUUGCUUCUAUGUAUAGGAUUCGAUUCUAACAGACGAGAGAGAGAGAGAGAGAGAGAGAGAGAGAGAGAGAGAGAGAGAGAGAGAGAGAGAGAGAGAGAGAGAGAUAGAGAGAGAGAGAGAGAGAGAGAGGAAGUAACUGUUCCAAUCCCACUAGCUCUAUUGACGAUAUGGGAGAGAGAGAGGAAUUAACUGUUCCAAUCCCACUAGCUCUAUUGACGACAUGUACAACUGAACCAUCUCAUCUGCUAUAACAGAUGGCACUAAUCUAGCCUAUAGCUAGUUCUAGUUUCAGCACUUCAUUACAAAAUAAGAACCAAGAACACAAAAUACAGAAAUUGAACAAAGUGUAAUCAGCUUCAAAGCUUAAGUCCUAACACUUCCUUCCAAGCUUGUAGCUGAUUUCACACCAAUGAGAAAUUGUUCCCACUACAAGGCCAGACUCACUGUCACUUCCAUCCGUCUUGCACAAUUUCUCAUUUACUGGAAGUGGAGUUGCCACUAACGUAGCCUUAUAGCCCAAAUAUCUCAAGUAACUUUAUUGCAUAUUUCUUUUGGUGAAUGAUGAUGCUCAUUUCAGUUUGAACAACUCUCGUUCCCAAAAAGUGGUAUAAUAAUCUCAAAUCAGUCAUUUCAUAAUAUUGCAUCAUAUCACUCUUGAAUUCUUCAAGCAUUGUUGGAAAACUACCAAUAUAAACAAUGUCAUCAACAUACGAAGAGAUAGUGAUUGUAACUAAGCUUUCAUUUGAUUUGGUGUAAAGAGUAGCUUCAUUAGGACUUUUUUAGAACCCAGCCUUGGUAAAAUAAGAAUAUAUCAAAUAUAACAACACCAUAUAUUUGGUAAUAUUUGUGAAGUGAGAAAUUACGUUAGGCUAUAGUCAACAAAAAUCUGUAGAGAAAGUGAACUGCUGAAAUAAGAGGAAAAAGGUAGAGGAAAGAGAUGCAAGUUCAUUGAAUGAGAAGCAAGCACACAAGAAAAUGCACACAUAAGAACCAAUAAAUAUGUUGUAGGCAUAAUUUACUAAGCAAUUAUAGAGGCCAGAAAGAGAAAGAGGGUGAGGCAUAGAGAGAGAGAAGAAAGAGAUGUGUAAUUGUGAGGUGUGUGUUAUUCCAUCCCAUUGUGCCUUUAUUUAUAGUAGUAGAGAAGGUUAAUUCCUUAUCCUAAUAGGAUUACAACCCUAAUAGGAUAAUAUAUAGUCUAAGAGAUAUGGUAGAAUCCCAUAAGGAUAUCCUAGAUAUGUUAAGAUUUACACAAUCACAUUCAUUAUCUAAUAGGACUACAACACUCCCACUUGAGUGUGUAAAUACUCAAACAAAUAGCGCAUUAGUUCUUCAGCGAUGAAGCAAGUAUAGUGAUGAAGUGUUUGGCACAAUGAGCGAAUGCGAGUCUCAAAUUAACGGAAGAAUGCAUAAAAGGUAAAACUCACAAACCCUCGCUGUGGUAAAACCCAAGGUGGGAGAAAAACCCAUAAACUAAGGAGAAAAGUGAGAAGUUGCAUUAAGUCAAAAUUAUACAUCUUAUGGACGCAAGUACUUUCAGAAUAGCGAAAAAACAUCUUUAAUACCAAUUCAGUGGUUACGUGUAGGCAUAGUGCUGCAGCUAUACUAAUAGAUCAACAGCGAAUGAGAUGUCCUUUCUAAUUGCAAUCAACAGCGAAUGAGAUGUCAUUUCUAAUUGCAAUGAACUAAGUACAACAAGCGCAAAGUUGAACUCAAAUAUGGAACUUCGGAUUCCAUAACCUCUUAAAGGGUCUCAUUUGCAUAUAGCGUAUGGAAGAUUAUAGGUAUACUCAAAGGAAAAACCUUCGGGGUGUAGUUUAACUGGUAGACCAAAGUACCGUCAGAGCAACGCUUGAACUUUAAGUCAAGAUGAGUUUUCCCAAGAUCCUUCAUCUCAAAUUCCUUAUUCAGGUGUGAGAUAGUUUUCUCAAGCUCUUCCAGAGUCUUAGUGAGAUUCAUGUCAUUUGACGUAAACUGUAACUCUAGCAAUACAGAAUAAGACUUCAUAGUUUAACACGCAAGGGCUUACUUCAUAUCCUUAACUGAUCAAAUAAUCACUUAGACGGGUAUACCACAUCCGCCAAAUUGUUUUAAUCUGUAAGUGAACGCCUCAAACAAGUUGAGAGGGUGUUUCGUGGUUUGGAACUAUUUGAACCAGUCCAUGCAAUUCUUCGAGAACUUACAUGUAAAUCUCCGUAUCAAUAUCCCCCAUGGAAAAACACUAACCACAUUUCAUAAUGCUGCUGUCAAUCACAUGGGUUUGAGAAAAACCUUGUGCCGUAAAAUGUGCAUCAUAUCGCACUAUUUCAUUCAUCUCAUUAAACUUUCUUUCCCACUUGUAACACAACAAGUUUACCUUGGGCAGUACAGGAAUGAUAGGUCCAAAACACACCUUGGUAAGGAAUUUAACCUGGAUUGCAAUUUCGGUUGUCCAAUCAGUUAUACGUUGUCACUAAUCAACGAAACAUGGUUCGGUAUCUUUCAUUUAUAUCAACAACUACCAUAUAAGUGAAAACAUUAUCGAUGAUAAUUUCAUUUCAAUUCCAUUUUCUCAUCUAAACUAGUAUACUGGACCAAGAACUUCAAGUCUCAGGAGUAAUUCGGAUAAAUCUCAUGAGAUGUAAAUCAUUUGAGAUAACGAUCAAGUAUAGAUUCAUUUAGUGUCAUAUCUUCCUCUUCUAGGGAAAUGAAUCUGAUGAUUGAGUGAUUAGUCAUGCUCCAGGCCAAGACAGAUUGAUUGGCUAUCUGCCGGUGUACCGGACUGUCCAACAUGGAUGGCCAAACCGUCCAACAAGGACGUCACACCCUUCGGGAAUGUUGACUCAACAUCCAUUUAAGUACCUCUAUCCUUGCAGGCAUGUUUGCAGCUAGUAUAUGAUCUCGUCACUUUAGCUAGAUCAGAGAAAUGUGUCUGGAGCAAUAUUAUGAAAGCUAGAAUUCAUUGCACUUGCUUAUCACACUUGUGUGGUACGAGGAUUGAGAUUAGGCAUAAUGGGUAACGUCCAAGCAAAUUUGCACCGUUCUACAAGAACGUUAACGUUCUUAUCUCCCCCUAACGGUGAGAAGACUGUCUCAUUGAAGUGAAAAUCCGCAAAUGAACAAUCAAGAGAUCGUUUACAAGGGCUCUAAGAGAGCUAAGGUGAAGGAAAAUCUUAAUCGACAAAGAUUCACAUUCUACUUUAAUGACCCAUGUUGGUACGUUGCGACGACUCAACUUGGCACAUGGAAUGCACACCCAAAUGCGUAAAUACGAAGAGUUAGGUUCGUACCCAGUAACCAACUGUGACGUCAAAUAAGUUGGGUGGCAAGGGGCCUCAAGGCAGACCAACAUAGCUGCGUACAAGAUUGCAUAGCCUUUGGCAGAAAUCGAAAACUUAGUGCGAUCAAUUAAAUUGCGCUUUAUAAUUGCUCUACGAAGAUGUUUUAGGGUGAAUAUAGGAAUUCGAUGUUCAAUUAUAAGCCCAAUAGACAUGCAAUACUUUAUCAAAAAAUCGUCGAUAUAAACUCUUCCGCAUUAUCCAGUCUCCCAGACUUUAUGGGAUAAGUAGGGUGGUGAACCCUUAAAAUUGGCCAGGAGGUUUAGCAGCAAUGUGCAUUGAUAAACAUGUGACAAGUUUGUUGAUUGAUUAACCAGAACCAUAAAUAUUUAUAUGGUUAGCAUUUUGGUUGGAUUAGUCCACAUAUAUUCCCUUGAAUCCAUUGUGAAAAGAGGGCCAUUUUCGUGUUUUUGCUAAGGAAGAUUAGCAAAUCAAUUUCCCAAACGAGUAGGCUUGACAAAGUGUGCAUGUAAGCACAAGAUCUUUACUUCGGGUAAGAAGAUGUGUCGUGGCAUCACUGUUCGACUUAAGUGUCCCAAAUCGUCGUGCCAAAGCAAAUGAACUGCUUGAAUCACCCGGCUGCAGGCCGGUCACAUGUGGCGUGUUCCUAGUAAGGAGACAGUGCUCUUCAGGCUCAUCUUUGGAGAUGGUGCAAAGAUUUUAAAUAUUCUUAAAACUCAAUGAUGUUCGUCCGAAACAGGAAGAAUAUAAGGUCUCUGACAUGGUAAUUUAGUACCAUUCAUACAACGAGGACCAUGCCAAUGCUCUUAAUCAGGUUGGAUAGAUCUAAAAUCAUUGUUAGAGAUGUGAUUUAGGUGUAAAGUUAGUGUGCGUAGUAUCGCAUUCAUCGAGACAACUAACUUUCUCACGUUCGUACCUAAUCACGUGUUUAAUUGAAUUCGGUCACAUGUAUACAAGAAACAUGAUUCAAUUAACUCAUUUUCGAGGACAAGAUCGAUAAGAUUAUCCAUAACUAAAACAAACACCAAAUGUGAAUCCAAGAACAUAAAAAUGUUCAUAAAGUAAACAAAAGUUACUAGGGGGAUUUGGCCAACAAGGCCAUCCAUGUCAAAAUUCUGAUUUUCCAACGAUGUUUGUUGGAGCAAAAUUAGUCUCACAUAUUGACUACUAGAAUGGUACUCCUCAACAACAUUGGUAGUGGCACAAACAGGUGCAUAACCAAUGAUCUAUUCUAUUGAGAUGGAAGUAGAUUCUGUAGGGUUGAGGUUUAUAAAUAUUAUCCCUUCUUCUUGAAGUUUUAGGUCUUAGGUACCAAUGAUCACGCUUCAGGCAUGAUGUCAUACGUUAGCUAGCCCUAAUCCUACCAUAAGUUGUAAAAACAAACUUGAAAUUGGAUUGUGAGAGAGACAGAGCCAGACUUGGGUUCAGUAGGCUCCAGCGGAAGCUUGAGGGGUUUGUUCGGUAUGCCUCUGCCGAAGCAGAGCAAUACAGUUCGAUGCAUCUUUGCCGAAGCAAAGCAUGCCUCUUCGGUGCAUCCUUGCCGAAGUAGGGUAUCACCAUUUGGUAGGCUUUGACUGAACUGGGUUUAUACCAUUUGGUAGACUCCAGCCGAAGCUGGGCUUGUCCCGUGUGUUGAGCUCGACCCAAAAAAGCCAGCAGCCUUGCUGCUGGGCUUUCUAUUUCUCGGCCCAUGGCCUACAACCAUGUUUGGGUUGCUUUGCAACAACCUUGAGGCCUACAUGCGUUUAGGGCUUUGCCCUACUCACGGAACCUAAGCCCAAUUCUAUUAGGCUAUGGUUUUUCGAAUCCAAUGCUAUUUUUUUGGCAUUUUAAAUAAUUUUAACCCGAAUGUUAUUAUUAUUUUUGCUUCUACGAUCGAUCUUGUAUGGUCCGAUCUAUUGAAUUAAUUAAAGUAACCUGCAGUCCAUUAUCUGACAAUUAAUCUAAAAUUAUUGGCCUGAAGUCCACUUUUUGGCAUUAACGAUUCAAUAAAUUAUUUCGCUUCUUUGGACCGUUGACUAUCUUUCGUAGUCCUGAAACACUCACACUUGGAUUCCUGAAGCAAUCCAUAAAUUCACUACACUUUAUUGUAUAUUGUAUUCUUGCAGGUACCCCUAUAUGAACUAAAUGUUCAUAUAUAAAUCGAACAUGUAGUUUCGAAUUUAGUGCCUUUGAAAUCUGAAAUUUUCAUUCAAAACUUACCACAUGAAACCUAUAGCUUUCAUGCUUAAAUUAAACCAAUACAUGUCUAUAGAACCUGUAUGUUCUACAAUAUAUGUCUAUGGCUUUCUAUAUGACUAACCACAUUUUGGUGUACCCUCUGUUUUAGGGACAUGUCGAACUUGAACAAACACGAUUUCACCGCUUUGGAAGUCUUCAGAAGAAACUACCUGAAGUGGGUUUAAGACGUGAAGCUCCAUCUUAUUGCAAAGGGUUUUAGAGCUACGAUCGAGGAACCUAUCAACGAUGAACUCAUCGAUGAAGCUCAGAAAGCUACUGUUAUGAUCUUUAUUUGAAGACGCAUUCAUGAUGCACUGUAGACUGAGUACCUCGCAGAGGAGGAUCCAUGUACCCUCUGGCUCGCUCUGACGGAUCAUUUUGAUCACAAGAAAGACAUCUACUUGCCUAAAGUAAGACACGACUGGCAGCAUUUACGCUUCCAAGACUUCAAGUCUAUGAAUGAAUUUAACUCUAAAGUUUGUAAAUCUGAUCACUGCUUAAGUUUUUUAAAGAGAACUUAACUGAACAAUAUCUCCUAGAAAAUACCUAUUCGAUCUUCAAUGCCACCAAUAUUGUCAUGUAGCAAUAAUAUAGGGCACAACAAUUCACCAAAUUUUCGGAUUUGAUUUGUUAUAUUUCUCGCUGAAAAGCAGAACCAGUUUUUGAUGAAGAAUCAUCAAGCUCAACCUACUAGCUCGAACGCUCCGCCUGAAGCACAUACGACUAAUUCUAGCAACCACAACCGACGGAAACCCCAUUGUGGCCAUGGUAAUGGGUGGAAAGGCCCACCACGGGCCCAAGGUCCACUGAAUAGAAGCCCAUCCAAGGGAGGAAAUUUGACCCAGAAGCGCAAACCCCUUGCCCCUAAGGCACCAAACUUUAAGAACAAGGGAAAAGCUAUUGUUUAAUCAAAUUCCACUAAACUGGACAUGUGCUACCGUUGUGGAUCAAAGGAUCAUGGGUCAUGCGUAUGCCGAGCUACCCCCAAGGUUAUUGCCAAGUAUCAUUCCCGUCGUGAGACUAACUUUGUGCAUGUGAAACAUCCCGAAUAUGCUACUACAACUCUGGAGGUUUCAGAUUUUCAAAAGGCAUCCUCUCAUAUGGAAGAAUAAAGUUUAUUUUUCAAGACAUGUUUUUAGGGUGUUUUACCCCUAGUGGCCAAAACCACUAGAAGUGGCCAAACCCACUAGGAGUGGCUGAAGCCCCCUCUUAAAUUUUGGUUUAUGGUUUAAUUGUUGGACAAUUUUUCUAAGUAUUUGAAAUUAUUUGUUUGGAUUGGUUUGUUUUGAACUAUGGAUAUUAUUUCUCGAUUUGAUUAAUUGAAUGAAUGGAAUUAUAUUUAUGCAUGUGACUGAUUCAAUUAAUUUAUUUCUAGGUAUAACUAGUGGGGAAGUUAGUUGUCUAGCUGAUAGUGCAACCACGCAUACCAUAUUACGUGAAACACUAGUUUACUAACUUCGUACCUAAGAAUGCACUUCUGACAACCCUCUCAAGCCCAUCCAACCUAAUAGAAAGAUACGGAAAUACCUGUAUAAUGUUAUCCAAUGGUACUGAAUUAAUCAUUAAAGAGGCACUCUAUUCUCCACAUUCCGAAAGAACGUUGUUGAGAUUUAGAGAUAUUCAAGAUAAUCAAUAUCAUAUUGAAACCACCGAAGAGAAUUGUUGUUAAUUUCUUUGUAUCACUUCUUACAAAUAUGGCUGAAAGCGUAUUCAUGAGAAGCUGGAACUUCUUUCGAGUGGGUUGUAUAUAACAACCAUUUGAGCACUUGAGACAUACCAUAUGGCCGGCCUUAUGGCUGGGUUCCAGGACACUCUCCUACUUUGGCAUGAAUGAAUGGGACAUCUCGAAUGAGAUAUGAUGCACCAUAUCCUAAAAGGAUCAUAUGGGCAUCGCUUAAAAUCUUAUCCAGACCGUUCACUUUGCAAAGCAUGCUCCAUGAGGAAGUUGAACAUUCAACCCUUAAUUACAAAGAUUAUUCACGACCCCUCAUAAAUUUCUUCAGAUGAUUCAAGGGGAUAUUUGUGGAUCUAUCCAACUAACAUGCGGACCAUUUAGAUAUUUCAUGGUGUUGGUUGAUGCAUCUACACGAUGGUCACAUGUUUGCUUAUUGUCCACACACAAUACUGCAUUUGUGAAACUCUUAACACAAAUUAUCAAGCUUAGGGCUCACCACCCUAAUUAUUCGAUCAAAUCGAUUGGACUAGAUAAUGCUAAAGAGUUUACGUCACAGACUUUUGACGAUUAUUGUAUGUCUGUUGGGAUUGAAGUUGAACAUCUUGUACCUCAUGUUCAUACCCAAAACGACCUGGCAGAAACUUUCAUAAAUCGCCUUCAAACGAUAGGUCGGACUUUGGUUAUGAGAACCAACUUGCCGAUAUCUGCCUGCUGCCAUAUUGCACUCAACUAUGUUGGUCCGCCUGAGGCCCACUGCUACCUAACCUCAUUCACUAUUACAGUUGGUUACUAGAUACGAGCCUAACGUCUCAUAUUUACAUGUGUUUGGGUGCACAUUCUAUGUGCCAAUAACAUCGCCACUACAUACCAAAAUGGGUCCUCAAAAAAAAAUGGAAAUCUAUAUUGGUUAUGAUUUGCCAGCAAUUAUUCAUUACUUAGAGUCCUUGACAAACGAUUUAUUUACCCCAUGUUUUACAGAUUGUCAAUUCGAUGAGACAGUCUUCCUGUCGUUAGAGGGAGACAAUAUCACUAACGUUCAUAUAGAACACCAUGAAUUGUCGUGGAUUACUCCCACUAUGUCUCAAGCAGAUCCUCGCACCCCUUAGUUUGAAACUGAAGUACCACGCAUUUUAGAUCUUCAGAACAUUUCUCAAAGAAUGCCGGAUGCUUUUACUGAUCUAACAAAGGUGACGAGAUCAUAUAUACCCACUGCAAACACACCUGCAAGAUAAAUGUACUUAAUAUACGUCGUAUGACCAUCGUGGAAGGCCGAACCGACCCCGAGGGUGGGGCAACUGCACCUCCCACACGGCAUGGUACACUAGCGACUAGCCAAUCAUCUACUCUAACCCUGAGGCAUGGCAAACCUCCUAGUUCAAAGGAUUUACAACUCUGGAAGAAGAAAACGACACAAACUAGUGAACCUAGUUUGAAUCCGACCAUUGCUUACUCAUUUAUUCCAACGUAUGAGGUUAUUCUAGAUUACAUAGUUUUGGAUGAGGUUUGAAAUCGGAAUGAGAUGAUUGUCGAUGAUGCAUUGGCGUAUACAGUUACUUCGGACAUCAUGCUUAGCAAUGAUAUUGAACCAUGUUCCUUUAAUGAAUGUCGACGUAGAACGGAUUGGUCAAACUAGAAACAAGUAAUCCAGGUCGAACUCGAUUUGCUUGCGAAAUGUAAGAUGUUUGGGAUUCUAGCUCAUACUCCACCACAUGUGAAGCCCGUGGGCUACAAGUGGGUUUUUGUAAGGAAGCGUAAUGAGAAUAAUGAAAUAGUGAGAUACAAGGCAUGCCUCGUGGUGUAAGGCUUCUCUCAAUGCCCUAGGAUUGAUUACGAGGAGACAUAUUCCCCUAUAAUGGACGUCAAAACUUUCUGCUACCUUAUCAGUUUGGUAGUUUCUGAAAAACUGAAUAUGUAGAGUUCUAGACCACAGAACUUCCUCGAUUAGAUUGAGGAGAUCACUUUACGGAUUGAAACAAUCUGAGUGGAUGUGGUAUAACUGUCUGAGUGAAUAUUUGAUAAGUUAAGGUUAUGUGAACAACGAACUAUGCUCAUGUGUGUUCAUUAAGAAGUCACAUUCUGGAUUUACGAUCGUUGGAGUUUAUGUCGAUGACAUGAACCUCAUCAGAACUUCCGCAGAGCUUGGGAAAAUUGCCACGCACUUGAAAUCAGAAUUUAAGAUGAAAGAUCUUGGAAAAACUCGAUAUUGUAUCAGCCUGCAGAUCAAGCAUUAUUCGGAUAGAAUCCUAGUACAUCAAUUGAAUUACACCCAUAAGGUGUUGCGACGUUUUAAUGAGAAUAAAGCGAAGCUUUCAAGUACUCCUAUGGUUGUUCGGACAUUAGAUGCUAAACGAGAUCCCUUCCGUCCCAAGGAAGAUGAGGAAGAGAUUUUGGAGCCUAGAGUUCCAUACCUAAGUGCAAUUAGUGCUUUAUUGUACUUGGCUCAAUGCACUAGACUUGACAUUUCCUUCGUUAUUAAUCUUUUGGCUAGAUACAGCAACGCGCCUACACGCAGACACUGGAAUGGUGUUAAAGACGUACCUUAAGGGUACGAUAGAUUUGGGCUUGUUCUACACCCAUGAAACUUCGAGAUGAGUCAUCACCCCCCUUAGUUCUCGGGUUUAUUCUCGCAUCGUUGGUUACGCAAAUACUAGUUAACUGUCUGACCCACAUAGAGCACGUUCUCAAACAAGUUAUGUCUUUACCAUUGAAGACACUGCUAUCUUGGAGGUCUACCAAGCAAGGACUUCUUCGAACCAUGUUGAGAUUCUUGCCCUGUAUGAAGCCUCGCGAGAGUGCUUUUGGUUGAAAGCAGUUAUGGAACAUAUUCGAAGCACUAAUGGUCUUACUUCUGUCAUUGACCUUCCUAUGACGAUCUUUAAAGACAAUGCAACAUGUAUCGAGCAGUUAAAGAAGGAAUACAUCAAGGGAGAUAACAUCAAGCACAUAACGCCGAAGUUCUUUUACAGUAUUACUCUCACCAGCAACAACAGCAUCAGAACAUUAAAGUCAAGCAAAUCCAUUCCCAAGACAACUUGGUCGAUCUCUUCACCAAGUCAUUACCCCUAAGUCUACUUUUCAAAAGCUCUCCAAGAAAUCAGUAUGCGUAAAUUGUCUGAGUUGAAUUGCCUGUAGUUCUCUUAUUUGGAAGUAUGUCUAACUCAGUGGGAGUAUCUAGAAGCAUACUCACUUAAUCUUAAUGUACUCUUUUUCCUACGAUUAUGAGCAUUUUUCCCAUUGGGUUUUGCUACCUAAUGAGGUUUUGAUGAGGCAACCAUCCUGGGAUGACCAUACUCCGUUGAGUUCACUACUUUCUUCCUCUUUGACGUUUGCUUUAGACAUUAUGCAUACUUCUCACCUUUAGUCUAUGGGUUUUUGCCUACCUCAAGCGUUACCAUAGCGAGGUUUUGUGAGUUUUACUACCGAUGCAUACUUACUUUCUUAUAUUUGAGACUCGCAUUUACUCUUUGUGCCGACGACUUCGUCAACUGUUUUACCUCAUCUGCUGAAAAUCUGAUGCAAAGUUUUGUUUGAGUAUUUACACACUCAAGGGGGAGUAUCUUUGUAUAUUCCCUUUAGUAGUUUAAUUCCUAUUAGAGAUGUAAUCUUUUUAGGGUAAGGAUUCUACCUAUCCUACUACUAUAAAUAAAGGCAUAAGGGGGUGAUACAACACACGUCUCAAAAUUAUAUAUCUCUCAUCUCUCUAUUGAUGCCAACCCUUCUCCCUUUUUGUCAUAAAUACAGUUCAGUCAAAUAGGCCUACAACAUGAAUAAUAUUAUCUACAAUAAGGGAGAAGGGAUAGGCUUAGCCUCAUAACAGGCUAGCAAUAAUGUGGUUCAAAUUCGCUUUUACUAAGAAAAAAAACCUAAGACCUCUCACGUAAAAGUGAAAAGGAAUACCACUACACCGUAGUACUAAAUGGCGACUACACCUAGAUUUGAAUGCAUUCUUUGAAUCUUGUUAAAUACUACUUUGACUACACCAUGAUCGAACAAUUUGGAAAAAUAACCAAAAGGUAGACCAUGAAUAGAAUUUUAACCAACCAUCAUAAUUUCAUAUAAUUCUAACCAAAAUUUGAUGUAAAAAUACUUAAACACCCUUGUUCAGUUGGAACCUUGUCACGAUACUCCUUCAAUCUCUUCUUAAUAGAUGGUUGUAUCUGCACCCUUUCUGAUUCAUUCAAUGCUUUCCUCUCCUGAUCCCUCUGAGCAUGCAACUCCUUUUCUAUGACCAUCUAUUCAAUCUCAUCGUCGGUAAGAUUUAAAAAAACAAAAAAUUUCAAAGUGUUUUAAUUUUUUUUUUAAAUUUUAAUUAACUACACCCUGAUUUUAAAAUGUUUUAAAUUCUUUUAAAAUCCUAACGGCACAUAAUCAAACUCAAAUUUGAGAGGAUUUUAAAAGACUUUAUAUCUUGACUAUACCUCCUUAGACUUUAUUCUUUAAUUUCCAAACAUAACAAUUAUUUUUUUCUAUUACAAAGCUUAUGUUAUGCUACUAAUAAUACUACAGUCUAGUGGUAGACCUCUUCACUUGUAAAUGAGAGGUCUUAGGUUCGAUUCUCGUCAAAUGCAAAUUUGACCCGCAUUAUUACUAGCUCAUUGUGAGGCUAAGCCUACCCCCUCCUCCAAGGCCACCCCUCCCCUUUAGUAUAGAUAAUAUCAUUUGUGAAAAAGCUUAUGUUGUGCUUAACUAUUAGUGUAUGCCAUUUAUGUUAGAUCCCACAAUCCUUGGCCGGAAGUGUGCCGACGAAGACGUCCGGCCCUUAAGGGGGGUGAAUUGUUAGAUCCCACAUUACCUAGGGGAGUGGAUCCUCUAUGCUUUAAAUGUACAUGCCCACCUCCAUAUAACACGAAGCCUUUUGGGAGCUCACUAGCUUCGGAGUUAAUCGGAACUCUGAAGUUAAGCGAGUUUGGGCGAGAGCAAUCUUAGGAUGCGUGACCCAUUGGGAAGUUCUUGUCUGAGCUCCCAGAAACAAAAACUAUGAGGGCGUGGCCGGGGCCCAAAGCGAACAAUAUUAUGUUGCAGCGGAGUCGAGACUGGGAUAUGACAAUUUGGUAUCAUAACCAAUCCUUGGCAGGAAGUGUGCCAAUGAGGACGUCGAGCCCCUAAGGGGAGUGGAUUGUUAGAACCCACAUCGCCCAAGGGAGUGGAUCAUCUAUGCCUUAAAUGUACAUGCCCACCUCCAUAUAGCACGAGGCCUUUUGGGAGCUCACUAACUUCAGGGUUCAUCGAAACUCUGAAGUUAAGUGAGUUCGCGCGAGAGCAAUCCUAGGAUGGGUGACCCACUGGGAAGUUCUCAUGUGAGUUCCUAGAAACAAAACCGUGAGGGCAUGGUCGGGGCCAAAAGCGGAUAAUAUCGUGCUACGACGAAGUUGAACCCAAGAUGUAGUAGAGCCCGGGUCGGGAUGUGACAAUUUGCCAAGAUUUAAAGUCAAUAAGUCCUGAUUAGUGCUAAUGAAACAUGGUUUAUAAGCCAUAUUAAGUCCUUUCUCUUUCAGAAACCCACCAACCCACCCUUUCGUGCCUAUUUGCUAAUGUAGUCAAAUCAGUGAACUUGCAAGCAGAAAAUCUGGCGGCUAAUAAUUUCAAUAUUGAUUUUACAUUUGAAAAGUUUUGAAGGAGUUUCUCAAAAUGUCCAAAUAAUUCAUUAGAGACGCUAGAUUUAUCUGAUUGUGGUAUGCAAAGCCAACUACUAGCCUCCUUAGGAUUAGGAAUGUUUUGCAUAAUCUCAACCUUAUGUACAAUAAUUUGUGGAGCUCAAUUCCAGAUUUCAUCGAAAACUUGUCAUCCUUGAUAACACUAGACCUCUCUUCUAAUAAUAUGAAGGGCUCCAUUCCACAAAGUAUUGGGCAACUCUCUCAGCUAGUUUCCCUCGAUCUUUUUGGUAAUUCAUGAGAAGGUAUUCUAACAAAAACCCAUUUCAUAAAUCUUACUAGAUUGCAAGAUUUUCAAAUAGGAGAUACAAAGGGACCAAUAUCUCUCUUGUAAGGACUAAUAAUGAUCUUGUCUAUAUCCAAUAUGAAAACAAGUAACACAAUGAUCAAUAUAAAAUCAAAAUAGUGGAUUAAGUACCACCUAAUCAUCUGUUUUCAUGAGGAUCGAACAGACCAUUAUCUUGGCUAUUCAUAAAUUAUAUGGUCACUCGCUGUUAAACGUGAUAUUGACGAUGAAGAAUAAAUGAAUAUUUUUUGUAAGAAAUAACUGCGAACAUGUGGUUGCAACGAACUCUCUUCCUUUGGGAGGGACAUGGCAUAAAACAAGAGCAGUGAUUGCGAUGGGCCUAUUGGAGUAACCAAGUCACCAAUGGCAAAGGAAAUGGGAAGCAGAAGAAGACAUAAACGUAGACGCCAGACGAGACUUAUUUGAGCACCAUCCCAUGAUCCCAUCAACAACGGACCGACCCAGCUCAGACAAGCGACUACACGUUUAACAGCUGCAUAAAUGCAUAUAAAUGCAUAUGCCCUUAUUGUUUUUCCUCCUAAUACAUUCUUAAAUCUACCAUAUAUAUGUGCUUGCUUGAUUGUUUUCUAUUGUUUUUCCUUUGUUUUCAUGAAAGCAAAACAGAAGCAAUUCAUUGUGAUAGCAGCCUAGGCCUCGUUUGGCAUGCGUAAUUGUGCUAUUUAAUUCGAAUCCGGAGGUUUGAUCCCACAUCUUAAAAACCUCCCCAUUUUUCUCUAAUUCACUCUUGUUAGCAUCGUGUGUGUAUGUGUGUGUGUGUAUAUAUAUAUAUAUAUUAUUGCUGAAUUCCUAUCCCAACACUGAAAUUUUGAUUGCAUUUUUGUAUUUUUGUUUUCUGUUUGGUAUUAAAUUUAUAGAGGCAGACAGGCAGAGGUGGCAGAGGAGGAGGUGAACACGAGCUAAUAAUAAUUUGGAAUAAUUGAUAAAAGAAAAGGAUGGAGCUUAAGCAGCUGUUCGUGACGGCCUUAAUUCCGGUGUUGAAAGUGCUUUCGAUAACAGCACUUGGCUCAUAUCUUGCUCUUGAUCGUGUCAAUAUUUUGGGGGAAGUUACUAGAAAGAACUUAAACACUGUAAAAACAAUACACUGCUUCUUCAUUCAGUCUCUUGUGCUCUAAACCCUCCCCAUUUAAUUUAAUUUCUCGUGUUGGACUGUUUUCUUACAAAUAUUUAUGUUUUGUGAACCAAUGAACGAACAGGUUGUAUUUUAUGUAUUCGGUCCUGCUCUGGUGAGUUCCAACGUUGCGCAGACAAUUACAUAUCAAAGCAUGGUUAAAAUGUGAGUUCUAAUUAAGUUGUUUAAUAUAUAUAUAUAUAUAUAUAUAUAUAUGUAUGUAUGUAUAUAAUCAUGUUAACGUUGUAAUAAUUAUAUUGUGUAUAGGUGGUUCAUGCCAGUGAAUAUCCUCAUCACAUUUAUAAUUGGUUCCAUACUCGGAUGUCUUCUCAUCCAAUUAACAAGGCCACCUGCCCAUCUGCGAGGCCUUGUCUUGGGUUGCUGUGCUGCAGGUAAUCCAACACCUAAUUCUAAAACACAGCUGAUAAAUAUUCGGUUUUGCGUUUUAUCAAUCUCCAGAUAUGCUGAUGUUAACACUUAAUAGGUAAUUUGGGUAUGAUGCUCCUCAUUAUAGUCCCAGCAGUCUGUAAAGAAAAAGGGAGCCCAUUUGGAGCUCCUGAUGUCUGUCACAUGUAUGCCAUGGGUUAUGCUUCGCUCUCAAUGGCGGUACAUUUCCUUCUCCGUCUUGUUCCAAUAUUUUGGUUUUCUUGAAAUUCCUUUAUCUAGCUUUCUAUGACUCGAAUUAAGAAAGGAUUGGGAAACUGCUUCAAAUAAGUUACAAUCCAAUUCUCUCAUUCAAGUCGAAAAUGCGCAGUUACUGCAAUUUGAACUCACGAUUUUAAUUUUUAUUAUUAUCAUCAUAAGUUUCAUCUCAUGUCUAGAACAUAUACAUACAAAUUGUACUACCCCCAAACGGCCAGGGCCAGUUCUUAAACGGUGUUUGUGUGCGCCUGCUUGCUGUGUAGAAUACGUUUUUCUGAACACAUUUUCUUUUGUCCUUCUUUUCCUCUUGAAUUCUGGUGACUGUUUCUCUUCAAUACAAUGUAGCUACCUUGUUCAGCUGUCAGGGAUUCCUAUCUUUGCCUUUUGUAAUGUAAUUGUGUCCAUGCUUCAGGUAGGAGACUUUUAUGUGUGGUCCUAUGUGUAUAAUAUUGUGCGGGUAUCUUCAAGAAGGGGCAACCAAGAUUAUAAUCAGUCCGCCGAGAGGUCCUCUACAUCCGACCAAGUAAGUUGCACUGAGCCUCUGCUAUCUUCAAAGGAAUGUCAUAGUUGAGGAAAAUCCGGAUCAAUAUGCACUGUCAUACACUGCUGUACCUGAAGAAAAAUCAAAGGUGUUGGAGUUUUGAGCCUCCUUUAGUCCCACAUCGGGGAACUCAAGUUCCCUAGAGGUCUUUAUUUUAGGUUAGUCACCUUUAUUAGUGAUUAGGUAUUAGACCAUUUGGAAUGAGAAUUGAGAUUUGGACCACUAAAUAUGUGGACUUGAUGAUUAUACCAUAAUAUUAAUAUAAUUAGUAUUAAUUGAUCAAGACAAGGCCCUUGGUAUUUGAAGAGCUAUGAAAUUUUGAAGAGUUGUGCGGUUUUAGAUACAUCCAAAAGGUAUUUGAAGAGUUAUGAAAUAGCCUACAUAACUAAAAACUCAGUUCCAUCGUAAAUCAUAUUUUUCAUUUCCUAUCUCUCCCAUACAAUAUUGAGAAAAGAAAACUAGAGUACACAACUCUAACAUAAAUGUUGGUUAGAGAGACAACACAAGUAAACAAAUUACUUGUAUUACACGCACAAAAUAUUACUUGAAUGUCAUUUGAAUAUAUGGUCUAGAUUCACAAGCUCACAUGUAACAUGCCGGACAUCUCCAACGAGAAAUUUACCCUGUUUCUUUUCAAUUUCUUACACUGCAUAUCUUUGUUGUUUUCCAUGGCAGGCAACGACUUCAGGUAAACUAGAGCAACGAAUAGUGAUGGUCUUUCAAAAGAUGAAUCUGAAAUCAAUAUUUGCCCCUUCAACUAUUGGAGCGGUAUGCCCUUUCUGCACUUUUCCGAUUAGAAGAUGCGACUAUGGGACAGAGGUUCAGGGCCGAAGGGGUAGAGGAAGACCUAGGAAAACUUUGGAAGAGACUCUAAGAAAAGACUUAGAGUACUUGGAUCUAACGGAGGACAUGACACAGGAUCGAGCACAAUGGCGUUCUAAGAUUCAUAUAGCCGAUCCCACUCAGUGACUUGGAUUUUCCAAGUCUCCAAUCGAGAAGUUUUCCUCACUCGGGAAAUUAAGGGAACACUACCCCAACCUACAUGCUCCACUCAGAAAGCUUCAACAUACAAGCUUCAACAAAAGAAAAUUCAAAGAACUUAGCGAAGAAGGCUUUGGUGUAUUUAACACAAUACGUUGAAAUGAAGGAAAGCUUAUUUAUUGAUAUCCCCGAUCAGCUACAAAUAUGUACAUAUACAUGAGUCAAAAUAAACACACACAAGACGGAGCCUUCACAAAGGUUGCUUAGGAGAAGUCUCAGCAGUCGGUAGAGCCCCAGAAAGAGAAGGCACCGGAGGGGGAUCAUUUGGAGCCUCAAUACUGGACAGAACCCUAGAAGGAGGAGGCAUCAGAGGUUGAUCAUUCGGAGCUUCAUUACGCGGUACAGCCCCAGAAGACGAAGGCAAUAAAUGCCUUUGGAACAAACCCACAAAUCUCUGAUGAUCAAGUAAAACCUGACCAUCAGUUUCCUUCAUCUGGUCAAGCUUCCUCUUCAUGUUUGUAGCAUAGUCAUGUGCGAGCCGGUGCAACUGUUUAUUCUCAUGCUUGAGCCCUCUAAUCUCCUGUUUGAGACUCAUCACUUCAGCCGCCAAGGAUUCAACUUGGCGGGUUCGAGCAAAUAGGCGUUGGGCCAUAUUAGACACAGAACCUGCACACUGAACACUGAGAGCCAGCGAAUCCUUAACAGCUAACUCAUCAGACCGUUUGGAAAGUAGUCUGUUAUCUUUGGGAGUGAGAAGGUUCCUGGCCACCACCGCAGCGGACAUAUCAUUCUUCAUCACGGAAUCCCCAACGGUAAGAGGACCAGUAGGAGAGACGAAGGAUGGGCGCCAUAUGUUGUCUGGAGAAGGCGGGGCUGCCUCUUCAACAAGGUUCAAGUCAAAACGACGGUCGGAGGGGCCAGACAUUUUCAAAGGUGUUGAAGAUAGAAGAGGUCGGACAAAUCAAGAUCUUAGAAGUGCAAGAAUGAAGCUUCUACUGGUGGAGAUUCAAGUGUGCUUUGGAACUUAAUGUCAGCCUCUAUAAAAAUCUGCACUCGACGGAGCUUCGGAAAUCGAAGAGGCGCCUGCUCAGAAAUCGAAGAGGCGUUUGCUUUCUCAAAAGCUGGGCUGCUUAGAGAUCACGAGGGUUGAUCUCAGAAAUCGAAGAGGCGUUUGCUUUCUCAAAAGUUGGGCUGCUCAAAGACCACGAAGGCCGAUCUCAGAAAUCGAAGAGGCGCUCGCUUUCUCAAAAGCUGGGCUCCCCAGAGACCACGAGGGCCGAUCUCAGAAAUCGAAGAGGCACCUACUUUUCCAGCCUUGUCAGCACCCGUCACACGCACACUCAGCUUUGCAGAAAUUAUGGGCAUUCUGUCGAAGACUUCUGGGGAAGUAGAAAACACAUGAAUCUUACUGUUCAAUCACCCACUUCCCACACGCAACAAUAGCUCAUGGGUACCACAGAUAACUUUGCCAAAGUUCUCUGCCAAAGUUGAGCACGUGAAGCUUGCAGCUCCCACUACAUCGCUCUGACCAAGAAAGGUAAAAGAAUAGCAAAGAAACAGCACUAACAAAGUUUAGACACAUAAAUUUUGAAGGUCUAGCUACCAUAUUAUUACCCACAAGGGUAAAGGAACAGUACCACUGCUGGAUAAUUGGAAAGUCCCUGUGUGUCAACCUCUGUGCUUCGUGGCAAUGUAGACUAGCAAACAUGCCCAACCUUUACUCACUUUCGAGAAAACACUCCCAACAAGAUUGCUUGCUCCAAAAUCGAAGAGGCACCGUCCUCCGAAUCUCGAGAGCCAGACUCCCAACAUGACUACUUUCUCAAAAGCGAAGAGAGGGUAAAGGAACAGUACCAUUGCUGGAUAAUUGGAAAGUCUCUGUGUGUCAACCUUUGUGCUUCGUGGCAAGGUAGACUAGCAAACAUGCCCAACCUUUACUCACAUUCGAGACAACACUCCCAACUGGAUUGCUUGCUCCAAAAUCGAAGAGGCACCGCUCUCCGAAUCUCGAGAGCCAGACUUCCAACAUGAUUACUUCCUCAAAAAUCGAAGAGACACUGCUCUACGAAUCUCGAGAGCCAGACCCCCAGCAUGAUUGCUUUCUCAAAAAUCGAAGAGGCAUCGUUCUCCGAAUCUCGAGAGCCAGAUACCACAGACCACUUUUUCAAAGUGCUCUGACAGAGUUAAAACAUGUGAAACUGGCAGCUCCCACUACCGUGCUAUGACCAAGCAGGGUAAAGGAAUAGCAUUACUACUUGUUGUUAGGGAGACUCCUAUAUAUGUCGACCUCCAUCCCCAACGGACAGGCAGACCUGCAAAAAUGCUCAACCCUUCAUCAUAUCUGAGAGGGCACUCCCAACGAAGCCUUUCGAAAUAUUCAGCUUUCUUUCCCCCCGAUAAUACCUCUGCAAACAAGCUAUACUAGAGCAAGAAUAUCUCAUAUCAUCAGGGUUAAAAGCAAGAGUAUCCCAUAUCAUGCUUUUUCCCUGUCUUUUCCUUUGGCCUUGUUUUUACCUGCAAGACAAGGAGAAAGAGAGCAAUCAGUCAGCACUUGGAUCAAGCUUCCAGCCAAGAACUGACUGCCUGGAACCCCUUACCUGAUUACUUACCUGGCAUUGCUCUCGAGUACUCAUCUUCAACAUCUUAUGUUUCCAGGGAAGAUUCCGCAUCUACUUGAGGAACAGAUAGGGCAAGUGCGAAGGAUACAAGGAAGCAUGUGGAGACAAGCGUAACAGCACACGUGCCGAUACACCCAUUACUCUGUCAAAAGCAAAAGUAUCCCAUAUCAGCAGGGUGGAACGUACUCUAGAUUUGAUGGACUUGUUUUGACCCUCAAAUUCUUCAGUCGGCCUUAUACUCUGGAGGAAACCAGAAAACCCUCCAGCUCAGUUCAAGAAUAAGCCUGUGGAAAGUUACUUCUUCAAAAGCAAAAGUAUCUCAUAUCAUCUCUUCUCAUUUUUCUUCUUUUUAUCCUUCAUGCUGCUGCAAGAUGGGGAGAAGGUGAACAAUCAGUCGGAGCUCUGAUUGCUUACCUUGUCUGUCACCUCUUUCAGCAGACCCCCUAGCUCGGCGACUUGGGAGACUCCUACUACAUGGUUUGUAUCGCGCUUGACCAAGCCUGAGACUACAAGUAAGCUUCAAGUGAAAUUGAUACAUUACCUUGUGCAUCUCCACCAGUUAAAGAUACCACCCCUGGAUGGAGGAAGAGUACUUCCAGAGAAGAUGCCACAUCUACCUAUGAGACAGAUAAGGCAAGUCAAGACGACAUCACACUCCGAUACUUAGAAGUUUCGUGAUUACGAGAUCAUUCUCCCACAAUAUUUCCUAAUGUCAUUUGUACUAAAUCAUUCACUUGUACUCACUAAAGGAAAGCUUGAACCUAUGUACUUGUGUAAACCCUUCACAAUUAAUGAGAACUCUUCUAUUCCGUGGACGUAGCCAAUCUGGGUGAACCACGUACAUCUUGUGUUUGCUUUCCUAUCUCUAUCCAUUUAUAUACUUAUCCACACUAAUGACCGGAGCAAUCUAGCGAAGAUCACAAAAAGCGACCGUUUUCGCUACCUAGGAUCUAUCUUGCAAGAGAACGGAGAAUUAGAUGGAGAUCUCAACCAUAGAAUACGAGCUGGAUGGAUGAAGUGUAAGAGUGCAUCUGGCAUGUUGUGUGACCGUCGUAGGUCACUGAAGCUCAAGGGAAAAUUUUAUAGGACGGCAAUAAGGCCAGCGAUGUUGUAUGGCACAGAAUGUUGGGCGGUGAAGCAUCAACACGUACACAAAAUGGGUGUAGCGGAGAUGAGGAUGCUUCGUGGGAUGUGUGGGCACACGAGAAAGGAUAAGAUUGGGAAUGAGGAUAUCCGAGGUAAAGUAGGAGUAGCCGAAAUUGUAGGAAAGAUGAGAGAAAAUCGGCUCCGAUGAUUUGGACAUGUGCAAAGAAGGCCGACUGACGCUCCGGUUCGAAGAUGUGACUACGGGACAGAGGUUCAGGGCCAAAGGGGUAGAGGAAGACCUAGGAAAACUUUGGAAGAGACUCUAAGAAAAGACUUAGAGUACUUGGAUCUAACGGAGGACAUGACACAAAACCGAGCGCAAUGGCGUUCUAGGAUUCAUAUAGCCGACCCCACUUAGUGGGAAAAGGCUUUGUUGUUGUUGUUGUUGUUGUUGUUGUUAAGCAAACUUGAUCUUUUCCUGGUGUAGCUCAUUGGUUUUGCAAUCGGAGUCAUCCCUCAGAUUCGAAAAUUACUUUUAGGAGAUGGUGCUCCUCUACGGGUGAUUCAAGAUACUGCUAAUUUGUUGGGGUAUAAAACUUAUGCCCGAACUGUAUCGAACCUUAAUGUUUUAUCCAUGAUCGACGCAAUUAUUGGCAACUAAUAUAGCUUCCCGUUCUUAAUACAGUUACAUGCUAGGGAAGAUACUAACCAUGCUUGGUCCUAUAGUUGUACAUAUCCAAAUGAACAAUUUGGUUCUCAAUUAGCAUAAAAGUAGAAUAAUUGUCUCGUGUUAAUCCCAACUUUACAAAACAUAUUCAGACCAGAUGGUUUUUGAAUUUCGGCUCAAAAGACGAGUGUGUUUUUUUAUACGAAGUGUUUGUAUCAUUUUUGUUGUUCACUUGGUAUCAGUUAAAGAGACUUGUUCUUUAUGAUUGCAGAGACGGAGCCAUCCCAUCUCUCAUUUUGAUAAUAGGAGGAAACCUACUUAAAGGUAAUAACUCGUACAAAUUCUAUUAGUGUCGUACUUAAUUGUUGGUUUAGUUCAGAACUUACUUCACAUUGUUGUUUCAGGCUUGCGAGGGUCAGGGAUUCAGAAAUCUCUUGUCGUUGGCAUCAUAGUUGUUCGUUAUGUUGCCCUGCCUCUUAUAGGCGUCUUGGUUGUUAAAGGGGCACUGAAAUUGGGUUGGUGCACUCUGAUCCAUUAUAUCUGUUUGUUCUUCUGCUUCAGUUUUCACUCCCACCUGCGAUGAACAUAGGUACGCUUGCUCUUCGACUGUUUGGCAACAAAAAGUGCAAUCAGAAGUUGCUCGCUCGCUCGCUCACACUUUUUCAUAACUAAUGUAAGUUUAUUCUCAAGUAUUGUUUAUUGAUCCUUUAAAAUAUGGCAGGAAUAAUGACGCUAUUAUUUGAAGCUGGAGAGAAUGAAUGUUCAGUUAUCAUGCUGUGGACUUAUGCUUUCGCUUCACUGUCAAUUACAUUCUGGUCCGCCGCCUUCAUGUGGCUUGUCGCGCGACUGUGAAUCAAAAUUUUACAUUGAAUUCUGUCUAAUUAAUACAAGAGUAGGCAAUUUGUCAGAAGAAAUAUUACGAAGCUCCACCCCGAGUCUGCAGGGAAGUACGAAGCUCUCAGUUCAGUUCCUCCCCGUCAUUGGAUUGAACAUGCAGAGCCACGGUUUGACUCCACAGCCCACCUAGAUGACGAAUCUAGUGGUUUGUGGCUAUGAUUUGGUCGAAGUAAAAAUGGUGGUGACUUUUCUUGGUGGUUUAGAGAGAAGGCAGAGAGAGAGCUCGAGUGUUAAGAACUCAAGAGAGAGUGUGUCUCGGUGUACAACGAGGGAAGGAGAUGGGAGUGACCGAGAGUUGGGAUUAAAACCCACUUAAAAUUUCCCUCUACAUAACAAAAACCAGUAGAGCCUUAAAUUACCAGAAAAGUGAUUAAUUCAUGUUGGAAUUUUUGGAUCGUCGGGGCCGCCCCACUCUAACGACACUGAUAUUAUCCCCAACUUAAUCAUUUGCCCAAUCCGUCAAGUGUGGGAUUUUACCACAAAAAACUUCGAUGUUAGUUAAAGUAGAGUAAUACUAUUUAAGUGAUUAAUUCUUGUUGAAAUUUUUGAAUCGUCGGGGCCGCCCCACCCUAACGACACUAAUAUUAUCUCCAACUUAAUCACUUGCCCAAUCCGUCAAGUAUGAGAUUUUACCAUAAAAAACCUCGAUGUUAGUUAAAAUAGAGUAAUACUAUUUAAACCUCUUUGGUUUAUUAGUUAGAGUGAGGUAAUUCUAUUUAAACUCUUUGGUUUUUCUUGCACCAUACCAAGUUGGAAUUUUUGGAUCGUCAGCCUGCUCCACUCUAAUGACACCGAUAUUAUCCUCAACUUAACAACUGCCUAAUCCGUCAUGAGAUUUUAGCAUAAAAACGAGUGGGGUAAUAAUAUUUAAACCUCUUUGGUUUUCCUUGCACCCACGAUGUGGGACUUUAACGAUUCAUGAAUUAAAAUUACUCAAAACUACAAUUUCAAGCCACUACAUUGCUACAAGCUUCAAAAAACCAGAAGAAAAAAAAAGGUAAAAUAAACAUCAAAAACCACUUCUAACCAAUAUAAUCACAGGUUGAAUGUUUCAACAACGCUAAAACACAGUAGGAUUAUAAAACAACAAUAUUUUUCAUAUAUUAAAAAAAAAAACAACUAUUAUUUAUUUAUUAAUUCCUAGCUCAACAAAAACUAAACUUUCGGGAAAAUGCAGAGUAAAAUAUAGGAAAGCUAACCUUUUGGCGCUUAGCUCUGGGUUCAUGAUCAAGCUUGGACCCUGGACCUUUGGAAGCCAUGGCUUCGGGUCGUCUGAUCCAGAAAACCAGUGGAUCUGGACAGUACGAUCAACGCCAGUGUGCUCUCUUCCCUUCCUGUAUCUCUCUCUCUCUUGCUCUUUUCUCUUUUCUUUUUGUGUUUUGUUUGUCUGUGACUGAGGACGCCCACCAACCUCUGAUGAAG